CAAGUGAUCAACAUAACAAUUCAGUUCCUGUCCUGAAGCAAUUCUGCUUUUGGCCUCGCUGAUGAGGGCAUCCAUUACUGCUUGCCUGCGGGUACACAAUCUCUGAAUUUUCAUUUCCACGCCUUUAUUAGGAACCCAUCUUAGGUAAGGGAAGAAGUCUCUCCAGUCCACCUCAAUUGCUCCCUCCAUUAUGUCAAGCACUAAAAUUUUAAAUACCUCAUCUUUUGACAAUGUGGAACCAAGCUCCUUCACAUAAAUUGAUUCCACAACCUUUCCUACAGCCUGAAAAUGCAAAAUGCUUUAAUUAUCUAUGUAUUUAGUCAAAGAUAACAGAUGAAUUUCCAACAAAAGAUCACAGCUAGCUCACCUGUUUCAUUGACACUGCAAAAAGUUCAGACUCAAAUAUUUUCCUGAAAUUCACUAGUUGUAGAGGAUUGUCCUUGAUGUGAGCAUGAAAUUGGGUUGACAUAAUUUCCAUCAUUGUGUCUCUAUGGAUUCGAUGUCGCUUCUGAAUAACACACAUACAGAGAGUACACAUCAUUAGUUUCGGCAGUACAAUAUAUCCAUACAACAUAUAAAGGGACACGGUGAAAGCACGAGAAGUUGGAUUAGCAGAUUAACCUGAGCAUUUCCACCCAAAACAUUUGUGAGUAAACAUCGUUUAGCCAUUUUGUGAAAUUCAUCGUAGUCACUUGUUGCAACCAUACAUUUAUUAGAGGUGAGCAUCUUCAGGGCAUUUGAUAGCUUCCUUGUUGAAAUGGAUGGAUAUCUGGUCACCAUGGCCUGGAAGAACAAACAAUAAAUUAAAACAUUUUAAUCAUUGAUUGAUUGAUUUCUCUUCUAUGUGUCCCUGUAUUAGUAACUAAUUAAAGCCACAUGAAUAUAUGAAUUAACUAAUGACAAGCAAACUGGACAUUUUAGUGAAUGAGACAACUUGAUUGUCAACCUAACGACCUAACUAAAGGGAUUCAGUAUGCAGCUCACUCAAACUUACACCCGAGCAGUAAAGUUACCACACAUUAUCCAACAGCUUAAACAUGAUAUGCACUAUUAAUUGUACAGCCCGGGUCCAACAAUUAAGUAGAUAUUAUUCAUUUUGACCACAUAGUCGUCACAGUUUUGUUCUGAGCUUUUUUACUUAAAACGCAUCUACUUGGUUAAGAGAGUCUUAUGCCUUACAAACUAGUUCAGUUCAGAAACUGACUCGCUAGCUAUUUGUGAUGUUACGUUAACAAUUCCACCUGGUCACAAAAUUGAAUCUAUAGUUUGCAGUGUUAAAAGAAUAGAACCAGAAUGCAUACCUCUUUAGCAACAUCAGCCGAAUUGAGAACAAUCAUAGAGGAAGCUCCAGUUUUGAUAGAAUAAAUUGGUCCAUACAUCUCUGCCCAUCUUGUGAAAGUCAUGUGUGGUUUCUUCUCUUUCAACUGUAACAAAUUUCCUAUAAGGGGUAGCCUUCCUGGAACCUCUGCACCAACCCCCCAACAGCAACCCAUUGAUCAUUUAAAUUAAUCAAUCAAGAACAAAGAACUGAAGAGACGAAACCAUAUAUACAUACCUGGAACAGGUGGAAGAUUAACAGCCAAUUCCAUCCUCUGCCUGGAGAUGAACCCUCUAAUGAAGAACAAGAAGAAAAACACAGAGAGAGUACCAAGAGCAAUGGAGGUGGCAAAGGGUACUGCUUGAAAUUCUUGAAAUGCUUGAGUGACGUACUCUUUGGUGGCCAUUGUUGUUUUUUUUUUUUAAUACCAAGUAUAGUGAAAAAGGUCUAAGAUUCUGUAGAUAGAGAUGUUCAAGGUAUCACUUGAGGAUUUGUAAUCAUAUACACACAUGGAUUGUUUAAUUGGAAUGUUAUAUUUUCAAGAAACAUUUUGCUAAAGUACAGGUAGAAUUGAUCCCUCAUGUGACGAAGACAGAUGAUCAAAUUAAGGCCUGUCUCUGAGUAUAAAUUGGCCAUGUUGGUGCUUUCUGUUUCUGACAAGUGCUUUGCAGGAAGGAUCCCCUUUUGGCGUUUACCGAUUUGGAAGGGGCCAAACAAUUAUGUUAGUGUUGUGGAUAGUGCCAAAAUGGGGCAUGGGAUAAUGCAAAGGAAUCAAGAUAGCUCAGAUACUGUCUUUAGAUAAAAAGAUAAAUAAAUAUAUGCUCAAAUUCAAACAACUAUUACAAUAAAAAAAAAUAAAAAUUCAUCACUGCCUUGCAUCUGCGGUUGUAGGUCAGUGCUUUUCAUGCCUUCAAGAGUCGAUAAUACGAUACUUACAGUUUCAUUCUCUUUAAAUAAUGAUCGAAUUUUUUUUUUCUUGUACCUAGUGAGAAUAGAUUUCUGAACAAAGCACAAUAGACAUUUUGGAUUGAACUAAAAUAAAUGUGUAAAUUUAGAGUCCUAGUAUAUUACGGAUCAAUUUUUAUUGCAUAAUGAAACUCAAAAUUUUGAAGAAAUAUUUGCAAAAAUAUAUUGUAUUUUGGGAUUUUUGAUCAACUUUACAUCUUAAAGGAAAUUAAUUGUUUGCUUCUAUAAAUGGAAUCUCCACGACGCGAGAGAAAUAUUGGACUUGUCUAUUGGACCUUAAAGUGGCCCAUGGAUGAAAUGAGUUUUUUACUAUUGUCGACAAUACUAACAAGUAACAAUGUUGAAGUAAUUAAAAAUAUAUAUAUUUCUUUAAGAUAAAUUAAUUUUUAUAAUUCAUUGGACUUCCCAUGCUAAAUGACAAUAAUCCGAAGGUGUUUAUUAUAUUUAUCUAUUGAGAUAUCAAUUUAUCAUGGGUAUUGGGAAAAAAAAUUAUCAUAAGCAUUGUAACUUUUUAUAGAAAUAUUAUAUUUUAAUUUACUGAUAUUCUUAUUGGAAUUCCGUGGAGAGCGUAGAUUGAUUCUUUUAUAAUGCAGCUUAGAUAAUAUUAAAAAAAUAAUUUAAAAAGUGAUUAACCGUUUACCAUCCCAAUAAAAAUAUUGGGUAGUUUUUACGUGUAGUGUACUAGUCGUAUAUUGAAUAUUCAAAAUAUGAACAUUGAAGAAAUUAAGAAGUUUCCAUUAUCCCAUUAAGAAGUUGUAAGCGUGAUUGGGCUGCACUCUAAAAUUAUAGCCAUAAUUUCAUUUUCAUAUUGCAAGACAAUCAUUUUCUCUUUUGACUUUGGCUAAGAUAUUGCGCCGCUGUGGAAUAUGCUCUAGUGUGUAUAUCUCACUAAGUUUUUCUGCUGUUACUUUUUAUAUUGGACGGAUAAGGCCCUAUAAUUGCAGUCACUCAACCACACAGCAUGUGUUGUUGGAAUGCAAUGCUUUGAGCAUGACAAGAUUGACUGCAUUUUAGAUUUGAUGUCUUGAAGGGGUGCGUUUAUAGUAGAUAUCAAAGGUCCAAAAUGAUGCCCAAACAUUUGAUUCUUUUUAGAGCAUGUAAAGAAGAGAUCAUAAUUGGGGUUUGUUUGUGCGCUUCUUCCUCUUUGCACCUUUGAGCCUUUGAGGCUGUUGCAUUGUUUUUUUCUUCAAAAAAACAGAUUAUGCAAUUACAAGAAAUCUGUUGCUUGCAUAUUUUCAAAUAUUGUAAAAUGGAUACAAAAACUCUUUUUGUUAUAGAGGGCUAUUCGAAUUUUAAAACUAGGGUGUUAUAACUUCAAAACUCUUUAUGGACAUGAUGAGAAAUAGAGUUGUUAAGAAUUAUUUACUUUUAUUUUUAGCACCAAACACUUAAUAAGAUUUAUUUUCGGUCAUUUAGAUAUUUUUCGAAAUCUAAAUUUCUACUUUAAAAAUCACUUAUUUUAAGUAUCAAGUUAUAUAUAUAAAAAAAAGGUUAAAACAUCUACUAAUUGUAAACAAAUCAAAUUAAGUGUUAAAUGAUAAAUACAAACAAGUCCUUAAUAAUGAUUCUAUUUUGUAAGAUCAACCAUUACAAACGGCUUCUUAAAAGCAUCAACAACUCUCUCAAGUACAAAAUUUCUUUUAGUGGCUAUAGCUAGUAAUGUCUCUUUCUCAUCAUUACAAUUGCAUGUUAAUCAUUGUUAAAUCUUGUUCUAUAAUUUUUAAUCUUGGCCAUGUUUGUUAGAGAAUAAUAGGGGCCUAGAAACUAGAUAUGUGUGGUGUCCUUUUCAAGCCCAUUUUUACGUUAAGGUCAAAAAUCAAUUUCUGAGAAAUGAGAGACGCUUUUAAUAGUGGCCGAGGAGAGAUGAUUCUGAGUUCUCUUUUGGGCCUAGGCCCCGUCGUGUCAUUAUAUAUAUAUAUAUAAUUAUUUAGUAAAGGCAUUUUCAUUUUCUCAGGAUAUCAAUAAAAUACAAAAAAAUUUAAUUUUAAUAUCCUAAUAGAUAAAAUACACAGUUUUUAAUAUAUUGAAAUCUGUAUUUUUUAUAUUUUACUAACAUGUUCACUUUAACAAGACAAAGAAGAUGUCCUCACCAGAGGAAUAUAAUAUACAUACAUAUACAUACAUACAUGUAUAUAUAUCUCUCAGGUUCUCGCUAAAUGAAAUAAUAACAACUAAUUUUUUGACUAAUAUACAUGCAUGUGACUUGUGAGAAUUUUUAAUACAUAAAAAAGAGACUAGAUUAAUUCUUUUUAUUUAAAAUAAUAUAUAGAGAUUCAUCAUCUAAAAAAGAGAUGAAAUUAGGCCUUUUAGAAUUUAAAAUUGGUUCCUUUAGGUAGGGUUGUCCAAAAAUUUUUUUUAAAUGCCUUUUUCUAUUGUAUCAUUAUAUAUAAAUCUUUGUAUUCAACUUUUUUCUUUCCCUCUUUUCCAUUUUUGGACCACAAAUUUUAUACAUUUACAUAAUCUUGUGCUAGAUCUUGCAUUAUAAGCUAUGAAUUCAUCGAAGUGGAAGGACCACCAAAUGGUCUUCUUAUUCAUAACUUAAACAAAACUAUUUAUUUUUAUUAUUGUUCAUUAAACAAUUAAAAGAAAUUAAAAGUCCUUGGAUUUUUGGUAAGCAUGCAUGCCAUGCCUAAAAAAGAUGGAGAAGCCAACGUGAUAUGGGUCCCAAAUUAAUUGAAAUCGCUGCCUCAUUUUUAUAUUUCAGGCUAAAAAUUAUUAAAAAAACUAUGUAAAAAAAAACUUAAUAGUUAUAUGCUCUUACUUUGAAAAAUGAAAAGCAUUUAAAUUUCUUUAUUUUUAAUUAAUAUCUCCCAACUUAAAAGAAAUAUUUGGUACUAAUGGUUAAUAGACUCAUGAUUUAUUCUCAUGGGAUUUGGUGAUCGAUGUUCAAGCCCCAUAUACCGACCACCUCUCCCUUAAAUGUGAAUAGAUUUUUCUGAAAUUAUAUUUGGAGAUAGUCAAAAUUAUGGAUCAAAACUUAGCAAAAAAAUGUAAUUCAACAUUUGCACUAUGGUAUAAUAUGAAUAAGGGAAAUUAUCUACCGACCACCUGUUUUUUUUUCAGUUUUUUCAAAAAUACACAUCUUUUUUUUUUUUGGUUUAUUUCCACUAGAAGUUACAUUUUCUUGCACUUUUCCACUUCCGUUUACAUUCUGUUAUAACCUUGCUGAUGUCAUAGGGGUAAAUUUGUCAUUUCACCUGCAUAGACAAAAUUAACGUCAUUUAAACGCGGUAGAAAGAGUAAAAAAAAGGUAAAAAUAUUCUAAAUUACUUUGUUGAACUUGUUAUCUGAUGUCUAAAUUGCAAAGAAAAAUUGAAGUAAUUUAAUUUUUUUUUUCAUUUAAUUAUGGUGAAAUAGUAAUUUUACAUUAAGGGGGUAAAAUAGUCAUUUUGUUAAUAUUAUGUUAACUUCUCUCACGGAGUUUAGACGACAGUGGAAAAAUGAUACAUUUUGUAACUUCAGGUGGAAAUUAGCCAUAAAAAAGAUAUGUGUAGUUUUGAAAAAGUCCGAAAAAACAAGUGGUCGAUGAAUAAUUGCCGUAUAAAUAAUCUAACCUAGAAAUUGAAAAUUAACCUAUCUAACUAAAUAUUAGUAAUUGAAUAGAAAAGGUAAAAGAAUACAUAUUAAAGAAUAUAUAUUUUGAUUUUUUUUCAAUGAAAAUUAGGAAUCUAUUUGACUAUUUGGUACAAAUGGAUAAACUAUAUUGUUAUUUGAUAAAAUGUAAAAUCUUAGAGAUCUACAUGUUAUUAUCCCUUUUUUGUUUAUUUAUUUUAUUUUUGAUUUUCUUUAAAGCAAAGUGACAAAGAAGUCAAUAAAAAGAGAAAUUAAGAGAUCACCCGAAGAAGUAGAUGUCCUCUCUGAUGAUCUGUCACGCGGGGCCCAUCUCGCAUGAUCUUGGAACAGAGAAUGACUUACACUUGUUAAGCAUCGGUGCUCAUGUGAAGAUCGGUGCUCAUUGUAUUUUAUUUUAUUUUUGAUUUUCUUUAGAAUGUAACUUUUGUGGUGUGAUCGUCACGUGACACUGUCCAUUGAGACAAUACCGUGGGGUUAUAUACUUAUAUUAUUAUAUGCUCUCUCAUUAUUUCUUUGAGCACUCAUCUACUCUUUACGAUCACAUUUUAAAUUUAUAAAUUGAAAUUUUAAUCUUGGUGUUGAUGCUGAAAUCUCUUCGUCAUUUGCUUUGCCCGACCAGAUUGUCUCAAUAACGAUUGUACUAAUGAUGACUGGAACACUGCACUCUUAAUGCUUUUCCAAUUACACGAGCCCUAGAGACCCAAAUCAAUCUCCCUCUUCCUUCGUGACCUACGCUCACAAAAACAAAUAAGGGGUGCCGGUGGUUUUUCCAGCAAAAACCCUCCGAUACUUAAGUCAGUAUGCGGGGUUUUCAGAAAAAAAAUGUGUAAUUUAGGCUAGUGCAAACUAGUAACAGUUGAAUCAAAGAAAAGUACCUUAGAGGCUUUUUUAUGAAGUUAAAUGCUGAUGACAAUUUGGCAGAAUUUUCCCCCUCCCUUUUUUGUGUCUCCCUUUCUCAAUCUACUUUAUGAGCUUUUAUAGGCGAUCACUCCGUGUCCCUAGGACAUUUCCCAUGCCCGCCAUAUUCGGGCCAUCAAGGGUCCUUACAGGUCUCAAUAAUCAAACGUGGGCAAAUGCGGGGCGUCGUGUUCUCCCCAGCGGUUUGGGGCGUCGUGUUCUCCCCAACGGUUUGGGGCGUGGCGAAACUGUCGCGUUGUCGUGAGAUCGUGCCCUCUUUUUGAAUGACGGGUUUCUAAUCGGAAUACGUCUCUGGUCGGUAGUUAAGUGUACCAUGGGGAAUAUUCUACCAGGAAUCUGCUCAUACCGUUCAGUCGAGGAGAUUUGUUCUCGGUUAGGAAAUGGGGAUACGCCCAGCUGGUGCCCUUUUAAUGCCCAAACACUUGGUACCAUUCAUAAUUCUGAACAUAAUUUCCAUUUUCAAUUUGUAUAUCCCUAAAAUGACCCAUUAUCUCUUUUUCUCACCCUUUUUUUCCUCUCUUAACUUACUUUACUUCUGCAAUGGUUCAAAAAAAUUUAUGGGCAAAUAACUUGAGUAAUUAAUGAAUUGUAAUCUCAAGCAAACGAUUAAAUCUUUAAUAAGUUUUAAGAGUCAUUCCACUGCGCUGAUUUUUCUAUGUAUUGCUUGUGUGAGUAAUCUCAUCACAAACACCUUCAAACUCACAAAUUCCUCAUCAACUUUACUAAUGUCCAAUCAUUUUUCAAGAAUAAAAAUACCCACCAAAGUAGAUUUAUUGAUGGGUUGCAAAAAUAGUAAAACUUCAUUUUGAGUUUCAAUAGUUUGUAGAAAAUUAUGUUGGCCAGGAAGAUGAGGAUAAAAUUGUCUCUUUGUAUGUUUAUGCUUCUUUCUUUUUAUUUAAUAGGUGGGUUUAAAAAUAAUGUCUCUUUAAGUUACAUUUAAUGUAACAUAUAGCUGAGUAAAAUUCCUCAUCUAGUCCACUUGAUCCAACUAUUUUGUUACUCAUUUUUGUACUAAAAAGUUUAGUAGUAAGUUACAACAAAUGUAACUUAGAGAAAUCUUUAACAAUAAUAUGGUACAAGGUUAUUCAUUUAAUAAUUUUUUCAAAUUAGAUUUAGAAUGUCCAAAGUAGACUUUAGAGUAUAUAUAGCCUCACCCAUGACAUGCAAUAUAUUCUACUGGGAUUAUUGUAUCAAUUAACUAUUUUUUAAUUAACCAAGUAAAUCAAGUCGCGUGUAUCUGUUAAAUUUUUAUUUCUAAAUAUGAUUGUUCUAUUCAAUUUUUUUUAAAAUGAAAAUUGAGUAUGAUGAUGACCUUUCUUAUCAUUUCUUUUGAUCCAAUUUGCUUAGAAAACCAUCAAUAUUUUUAGUAUCCAUCAUGUCAAUUUUAUGAAAAUAAUUUGGUUACUAUUCAUCAGUCAUCACUUUGAGUAGUUAUAAAAUAAAGUAAAAAUAGCAGUUUAAAUUUUAACUACUGGAGAUUUCAUAUUUAAUAAAAUCAAAUAACAAAAUAUUUUUUAAUAUAAAUUAUAAGUGAUUAAUUUGGCGUCUGAAAUGGUCUCUAGUUUUGUAAAUGAGUAAUGCGAAGGGGUACGACACUAAUUUUUAAAAUUUAAAAAUAUUAUUGUCUUUCAAAAUUAAAAAAUAAAUGAUUUUGGCAAUUGUAUGAGGGAUUACAUCUUUGACAUUUUUCUUUUUAUUACCAGUCAUUAGAAUGAAAAUAUUUCCAAAUUAGCUUUUAAGCGAAACAAAAUCCACAAAAGAAGAAAAGACCUCUUAUUCUCAAUCACAAUAAAACCCUUUCGAAACAUGAGAAUUCAUCUAUCUUUUAAAAAUAUCCUCAAUAAACGCGAAUUUCAUGCUAAAUCUGUUGAUGCUGAAAUCUGGUCGCCCUUAGCCCGACCAGAUCGUUCCACCAACGCUUGUGUUGACAACGGAGAAGAGGUUGCACUCUCCUUGCUUUAGCAAUUGCCCGAGCUCCUGGGACCCAAAUCACUCUUUCUCUUCUUUCCAAGCCUGCGUUCACAGAAACAAGUUAGAGACGCCGAUGGUUUUGCCGGCGUUAAUCCUUCGAUACUUAAGUCAGUAUAAGGUGUUUACGAGAAAACAAUGUGAUUUAAGUUGAGUAAACUAACUAUAAUAUUCUCAACACAAUGUGUAUCAAAGAUCUGUAUAGAAUAAAUUCUGGUUUCAGUUUGGCAGAGUUUUCCCUUCUCUCUUAAUUUUUUCGUCCCCUUCUUCAUCGGUUUCUUAGCCUUUUAUAGGCAAUCAUCCCACGUUUUAUGAGUAUUCUUCAUACCCCCAUUUUAGGGUGAUGACGGACCUUCAUGGGUCUCCAACCACCGAAUCGUAGGUAAACGUGGGAUGCCAUGUUCUCCCCAGCGGUUUGGCGCAUGGCGAAACUAUCGUGAGUUCGUGAGAUCGUGUCCUUUUUAUUCGGGUGAUGAGUAUCUGGUCGGUACUCGUUUAUAGUUGGCAUAUGCCCCGUACAAGAUGUAUUACCAGGACUCUGCUCGUACCAUUCAGCUGGGGAGAUUCGCCCCAGGGUGAGGGGUGAGGGGUGAGGAGAUAACUGAGCUGGUACUUUUCAUUACUCAACACCAGUCCCCCAGUUUCUGGUCUCACGAGUGAAAUGAGUUGAAAUUAGAAACUAAGAGUUGACUCUGGUUGCCUCUGGGUAGCAUCCUCCUGAGGUGAUGUUUAUGAUGACGGACCUGAGGUGAUGCUUAUGAUGACUGACCUGAGGUGAUGUUUAUUUGUCUAAAGGGUUUUUGGCUUAGGUAUGAGCAUUCGUGAGCGUGUCCAUUACGCAGUCGGGCUGACAUCCGUCAUAUCGCCUUAAUUGCCGAUGACGUGGCACUUUUCACCCUAUGUAUUUGAAAUUUGAAACGGUGGCUUAUUUCUCCUUGAUACGCGGCGAUUGAACUGACAUUUAUGUUAGCCAAACGCCUCCAUUCUCUUUCCUGUAUUAAAAUCCCAAUCUUAAACUUUAUUACAACUUAUUUGCCGUCAUUCUGCAAUUAACCAACUUCCCUUUCCGGAAUCAGACAUAUUUCCUAUGUUGGGGAUUUUCUUUUGCUUGAUUCUCCCGCCGCCACAGCAGCAUCUCUAGUGCCGUUUUAUCUCAGGUACCGCCCCUAACUUUCUCUUUGGUUGUUAUUGCUUGAGUUUUGUCCCAUUCUUUCGUACAAGUAUAUUUAGGUUUGCUGUAUUUUUCCUCUUAAGACUUCAUAAUGUCAAGACGAAAAGGAAAAUUAAUAGCUGUUGAAAGUGAUGAAGAAAUUGAUUCUUACCUUAAUAUGUUUGGACCCCUUGAUCCCCAAAAUCCUUCCACCAACGUAGGCCUUUCUUCCUAUAUGGUUACCCCUGAGUACCCCCGACCAGAAACUGUUUUGCCUCCUUCUGAAUGUGAACCCAAUGGGAAUCGCGGUGGUCAAGCAUCGGGUUCCGGUGAAAAUCGUGGUUCUGGGGGGGCUGAAAUCCCUAAGGGAGAAGAUGGUGAUGAGGAGAGUAACUCCAGGCCGAACCGACCUUCUAUAAAAAGAAAUCUCGGCCAUAGGAUGGAGGCCGAUUCUUAUCCGAUUGACGACCUCAAAUGCGCCACUACCCAUACCGACCUACUCAAUCUAAGAACCCUAUACAACAUCCCUGGGGACGUCAUCCUCUCCAUCCCUGGGAAGGGUGAUGUUCCUAGUCGGCCUCCUAAGGGCUAUGUGACUCUGCAUCUGGAGAGUUUCAAGCUAGGAGCUCGGUUACCCCUUCAGCCCUACUUCGCCAGGAUAUUGGGUAGCAUGCACCUGGCUCCUGGUUAGCUGCACCCGAACGGGUGGAGGGUUCUCUCAGCCAUUUUUUGUACUAUAGGAGAGGUGUAAGCUCGAGGAGCCCUCCCUUGUGGAGAUAAAACACUUAUAUCAGCUGAGGAGCAGUCCAAAGGAAGCGGGUUGGUAUUAUUUCAUGUCGAGCUCUGCAAAAAGGAAACCCAUUACCGGCAUUCCCCCCUCAUGUAAAAAUUAGAAGGACAAAUUCUUCUUUGCUGGGGGAAAUUGGUGCCCGGCGAUCCAUUCGCUUGGUGGUGAUAUUCACCUUCCUACGUGUUUUGUCAUCCCAAGUCGUUUAUUUUCUUUACACUUCGUGUCUUUGGUCGUCGCUUAUUUGUUUCUUUAACCUUGUUUAUACUUUCAGAUUCAUGGGGUAUAGUCAAUAAACUUGACGAUGACCCCCUGCUCAACGUUGAAACCGCUCUGGUCAACGCCUCCACUUGUCGGGAUCUUUUAUCGCGGACCAAUCUCGUCAGAUCACGUCUAGUUGACGUUGCAGCUAGGAUGGAUAACAAGAUUCUCAGUGCCAUAUCAAAAAAACAUGGCCGGGCAUUAGGUGAAUCUAGCGAUGCCCCCUCUGCUCAGAAGAAAAGCUAUACUGCUCAUUCCAAAACUCCAGCUCCUGCUCUGCACCCUCCUCAUCCUCAAAAGAAUGGCAGAGAGAAACUUCAAAAUAAGAGUCAUGAGGUUAGCACUCAGUCUGGAGAUCAACCCCUGCCUCUUCCGCCUCGGGACCAGGGUGACUAUUUAACCCCGUACCAGAAGGAUUACUCUAAAUUCGUGGGGCCCAAAAUGGUCAAGGACAUUGAGAGCAUGAAUCUUAGCGAGCUAGCUGGCUUUGUCCAGAGGGUUUCUUUUAAGCUUGCCACUCUGGUUUCCUGCUACAAGAACAGGUCUGUGCGCCAUGAGAGGAAGCUUCAAGCGGAGAAUCAGGACCUGAAGAAGAAGGCUGAAUCCACUGAUCGGUCAAAGGAAAAGAUGGUCAAUCUACAUAGGCAGGUUAUGGACCUGGAGGAGAAGGUUGCUAUUGCUGAGUUCAAGUCCUCUAAGCUCGAGAGCGAGUUUGGUGACUUGAAGUCUGAUAUUGAGGCUGCACAAAGCGAGCGAGACACUUUGAGGACGGCCUACAAGGAGCAAGUCAAGUCUUUGAACGAGCAGAUAGCCGAGCUGAAGGGCAAAUCUGCUGAGGUGGACGACCAACUCGAUGCGGAGUAUGAUUCCGGGCUCGCCUUUUACUAUAAAUGCAUCUUGUUCGUGCUUAAAAAGGAGUACUCGGAACUAAACAUGAGCAAGCUGGAGACGGGUGUGCAGAAGUAUAUGGCCAAGCAGGGCCAGGAGGAUAAGGACCAGGGUCAGGUCAAGGCUCCUUCAGGUGGGGAGCAAGAGAAGAAAGCAGGGGAUCACGCUUUGAGAGCAGGUUGUGGGUCAACACCUGCACCUCCAGAAGUUGCUGUCCUUCCCUCUCCGAGAUUGCAGAUCCUCCUUCCAAUGAGACUGCUGAGCCUCAGAACCCAUAAAUUUGCUUUCUAUGUAAAUUCUGAAUUUUCUGUUUAUUUGUCAACAUUUGGGCAUUUAUAAGCUUUUUAUGCUUUCCAACUGCUUUCUUGCUUUAGUUUUGGUCGUUUCUGUAAAUUAUAUUGAGAAUUGUGCUUGCUCAUCUUUAAGAAGCUGGGUAGGAACAGGUAAACCCUUUGCCUUAGUAAAAUUAUUUAUUUUACCUGCCCGUCCUUAGGCGACCGAGCAGGAAUAGACACAUAGUUGCCUUAGUGAAUUUUGUAGAACUUGCCUGUUGGUCCUUAUACGACCGAGCAGGAAUAGGCACAUCGUUGCCUUAACGAAUUUUUUAAAACUUGCCUGCUGGUCCUUAUACGACCGAGCAGGAAUAGGCACAUGCUUGCCUUAGUAAAAUUUUGUAGAAUUUGCCUGCUGGUCCUUUGGACGACCGAGCAGGAAUAUGCACAUGUUUGCCUUAGUAAAAUUUCGUAGACUUUGUCUGCUGGUCCUUUAGACGACCGAACAGGAAUAGGCACAUGUUUGCCUUAGUAAAAUUUCGUAGACUUUGCCUGCUGGUCCUUUAGGCGACCGAACAGGAAUAGGCACAUGUUUGCCUUAGUAAAAUUUGUCUAAAAAGAGAGUUCUGAGCUGAAUUCAUCUCUAUUGAAUUUUUUGUGGAUUACAAGAGGCGAAAUACAUGCGCGUGCCACAAUUCUAUAAUACAUUUAGCAGAAAUAACUUAGCGGAAUAAAACUUAAUAAAGCACUUUGCUUACUGGAAAUAUUUCUUCAAGUGCUCAGCGUUCCAUGACCUCUUUACUUCUCAUCCAUCUGGGUAGGCCAGUUUAUAAGCUCCUGGGCCAGUUGCUCGCACUACCCUGUACGAGCCUUCCCAGUUUUGAGCCAAGAACGCCCUGGUUAGGAUCUCUUGUGUUCUGGUUCACCUUUCUAAGUACCCAAUUGUUAUGCAAAUUUUAUUGAACUCGCAAGCACACGAUCUAUUGUAGAAUAGAUCUAUGGUGACGAAUGUUGAUCCCACGAGGAGGUUGAUUUUAAUUGCGUGUAGAAUUAAUUUUUCUAAAUGGGUGGUUGGAUUUAUGGUAAAGAUGAUUUGGAAUAUCCUAAAAUUUAAAUUGAAAUGGAAAAAUUAAAUUAAAGUGGAAACUAUUAUAAUUAAAGCGCUGGGGUAUUUGGGUCCGCAUCAACAUGCACCAUGGGCUAAAUAUUCUUUAUUAGUGCCAAUUAAAUCAUGAACCACAUCAACAUGCACUAUGGGUCCGCAUCAACACACACCUCAUGAAUCACACUCUAAUCAAUAUGGUGCUAAGGGCUUAUCGUGCCAAAUAAUAAUAACCUUGUACUAGGGAGCCGGUGAAACCAGAGCGGUAUAUAGAUAAGAUUAUUAUUAUUUGUCGACAACAAGUCAAAACAUCCACAAUAAUUAGAGGGGAAGAGAAAUUAAAUUUACCAAAUAAAGCCCAUGGCACAUGUUGAGACUUCACCUUCAACCCAAACUUGAAAGAAAAUUAGCUACUCAUAAUUGAACUAGGGGCAAAAUGAGAAUUUAUUAAAAUACUUAGAAAAUACAAGAUGAAGAAGGAAUUACAGAAAAUGAAUUCAAAGAUGCCAAAUUAGGGGGGGAGAGCCCCCUUUUUAUAGAUACACUAAGUAAAUCAUGGCCAUCGGAUUAAAAAUAUUUUAGACGAUCAGGAUUGCACCACGUCAUCAGUCAACAAUACGCGGUUUGACCACGCAGUUUGAAUAGUAACACGGUUUGGCCAGGCGGUUUGAAUAGUGAUGUGGUUUAAACAGUGGCGCAGUUUGGUUGAAAAUAAUUAUGUGUAUAUGCAUGUACCGUACGCACGAUUUUUGGUCCACUAACAUGCUGCCACGUCACUGAUCAACAGUGCAUAAGAAUUUUGUCCAAUAGAAUUGUGACACCUCAUCAGUCAAUGCCACAUCAUCGGUCAAUGCCACGUCAUCGUUCUGUAUAUGUGAACAGUGUUGUGAAUAGUAACAUGGACAAUACCGUACAUGUAAAUAGUAUCGUACAUGUGAACAGUGACAUUUUUCCUUUUAUGCUCCUCCUAAAGUUUUCGACUGUCCUGAGUUCAAAAGUGAUGUCUGUUUUAUUGUCUGAUCUCUCGUUCAUUGUGAAAUGACCAUGAUGCCCCUAAAAUACAUAAAAUACUUAAUUAAAAUAAAACACACAUAUUUAAAUCACAAGAGGUUUAAAUACAUAAAAGUAAGGGUGUUAGUAAGACUUGAAAUGUAAAAUGACGAUUUUCUCCUUUAUAAAUAUACACUUUCUAACACUCAACACACCCCCCAACCAGCUUAUUACUAGUCCCCAGCAAAAAGCGAAAACAAAAUUCAAAUCCAAAAUGAUUUUUUUUUUUAAACACUUGUGUUUAUUCAAUCAGACUAAUGAUAGCAGUCAAAUAAAAGUAUAAGCAUUAUCUCCAGUCUAAAGAAACAUCACACCCACAUCAACCAUUCACAUGCAUCAGUCCAGCAGACUUUGUCAAAGCUACUUUCAAGAAUAACAUGUCAAACCCCAAAAUCUCACUGGUAGUAGUGACACUCUCACAAAGAAAUGAAACCAAAUAAAAAUAGUAUUCCAAUGAAUGGUAAAUUGAGAGAAAAUAAUAAAGAAAUAAUAUCACACGCUCUCACCAAGAAAUAUGCCCACAACUUAGAAAUAAUAUGAUCUUAAGUCAAACAAAAAUGCUAGUCAACCCAAUAUAUUUAUUUUGUUUUCUUUUUUUCUUUUUUUUUUAUGCACCACUACAUCUUUUUAGCCCAUAUAACUAGCUUCUACUUCAGACUAUAGCUCCCUAAAAUCAGGAAGGACUUUUAUUAGGAUAUAACGCAGGUUAAGGACAUGGCUAACAAAUGAAGGAAAAUAGGAAAAAACAAAAUAUAUGUUUGAGAAAAAGUAGAAAUCUUUUGGAAAUUACAAGGUGGAUUUCACCUAUUAUUAUUAUUUUUUAAACAAACAAUUUUUUUUUCUUUUGUUUGGCACAACUUCACUAAACAAAAUAAUUAUUUACAUUUUUCUCAAACAUAAAUAGGUGAUGGAACUUGUAAGAUAUCGGGUAAUACUCCAAAUUGGAGUGGGUUAAGAUGAUAAGUUUGAUAAAGAAAUUUUUUUUUUUUAAAGGUUCAAAAGGGUUAACUAUGAAUUUUUCACAAAAUGGAUGGCUAGAAAGGCUCAAACGGGUCAAAGAUGGUCUUUCUAUCGUCUUUUAGGGCUCUAAAUAAUCUUCCAUAUCUACUUGUUAGAUGGACUUCAAGAUGUAGCAACAUACAAUUUUUUUCUUUUUUUCUUUUUUUUUAUCUUAAUUUUUUUUCUUUUUAGAGGGUUGACUCAAAAGAAAUCUAGAGAUUGUAUAUAAAAUAAUAAACUGCUAAGUUAUAUAAAGAAAGGGCAAAAUGAGUUAUUCUCCAAGAAAAAUGACAGGCUAAAAAACUCACUUGGUAUUUAUUAUAACAUGUGCAUUCCUUCAAGUAACUCAUAUUUGUCUCCGACAUCAACAUAUAGAAUAGCAAACAUAGCAUAAUAUCACUUAAGACCAAAGAUAAUACAAAUACUAAAAUUUGAAAGUCAUCAUGUCAUCCAAUAUAAAAAAAAUCACACAAUUUUUUUUUUAAAUGACAGUCUACCUCCCAACCUAUUCUAAACAUGAAAAGAAAAUAUGCAUGCAGAAAGGUGAAAAAUGAUGCAGAAAAGCUAAUUAAAAAAGUUACAAUUAAAAUGAUAGAAAAAGAAAUUUUUUUUUUUAACUAAGAAGAUGCGUUUCUAGAGGCACUACACUCCAUAGUCAGCCAUCUUCGACUCAAAAAUUUGAGAGUGUAUAUUUAUAAAAGAGAAAUUAAAAAGAAGAAGAAAAAUUAUUAUCAAAACUUAAUAAAGAGAAAGAAAAUGUCUGGAAUUUUUUUUGUUUAUUUUUUUUCAAACGAAGAAGAUGCGUUUCUAGAGUCACUACACUCCAUAGUCAGCCAUCUUCAACACAAAAAGUUAGCCACGGUUAGUCUCUACAACAAAAAAUUAGUAAAAACUUAACCAAGAUUCCAUAAUUGUCGACUAUUCCCUCCCCCAAACUAGAACGAAACAUUGUCCUCAAUGUUUUAAAGGAAAAAAGUAGAGUUUAGAAGACAUCACCUGGGUGGUGCAACACAGAAGACAAUAUUUACAAGCGGAAAGUUAAAUCUAAUUUGUACUUCUUACUGCGGCUAUUGUUACCAUCAUUAUUUGGACGCUCCAACACAAAGGUCCAGGGGUCUGGCUCCGGUCUAUAAGCUUGUAACAUAUCAAGUAGCUCAUUAGCAGUGUGAGCACAAAUAAAAAGUUUUUUCGCUGUGGAAGGAAUGAAAUAGUUUUUUAUUGCAUGGUUAAGAAAUGCGAUGAAGUCAUCAUAAAAGUUAUUGACAUUUAACAAACCGAUAGGUUUCUGAUGAAUGUGCAGAUGGGCCCAAGAUGCUAAUGUGAUAAGUGCCUCUAGAGUUGCAAGAUCUCCUGGUAGGAAAAUAAAAGCAUCAGCAUGAUUAAGCAUUUCAGUUAUUCUUUCUUGCAUACCUGAGACGACUAACUCUUCUCCAGUCGGUGAGUCAGCCAAACUGCCCAAAGGUUUUAGGGCUCUUGGGAUGAUGCCUAACACUUGACUUCCUCUGACAAAAGUAGCGUCUGAGACCAAUUUUGAUAACCCUCGGUUACUUCCUCUAUACACCAAGUGUAAUUUUCUCUCUGCUAUGCUUCGACCAAGAUCUAUGGCUGCCUCAACGAACUCUUUAUGUUUGCCAUAGUUAAAUCCAGAAAGCACACAAAUGUUGUUGAAUUGUUUAUUAGGAGUAAUUGCCAUUGGGAUACUUCUAAAAAAUAAUUUGUGAGUGCUUAACAAAACAAAUUAUAUUUAAAAAUCUUGGUGACAGUGGGUCACAACUGUGUAUGAGGUAGCAUUUUAGUGUCAAUUAACAGGUAAAGCACAUGGCUCGAGAGUCAAAAAGUAAAUAGUAAAUAGAAAAAAAAUGAUAAAAUAAAAUUAUUAAAGAAAAUAAUGCAAAUGAUAAAACAACAGUGAAGUAAAAGGAUAUUUACAGGUAGUUGCAACUGUGGCUCAUAUCUUCCUCUGGUUUUACGUACAGAAUCGGCUUGAACGCCCUCUAUGGGUCGGGGAUAGGCUUCCCAUCCAGUUUUCUUAUAAACUGGCAAACAAGGUCAUUUAUAGUCAGAUUCCUGAGACUAUAUCGUGCAUGCUCUUUCUGGAAUAAUGGCCAUAACUGGAGAAUCGCUCCUUGUGCAUAUCCACUGGGAUGCGUUUCAAGAGACAAAAGGAUAUCAUCCAAUGACUCCUUAUUCAAGCCAUCCAUAAUGAAUUGAAUCUUAUCUUUCCUGUUGUCAGACACCAUUCCUAAAGAACAUGGUUUUUUAUCGUAUUUCAUUCUGGCACACUUAUGACAAGCAACAGAAAUUCUUCGAGCUCUUCGUUUUCUUGCAUAAUUCCUUUACCACAACCAGGCAUGUAUGCAAUAAAUUUUGGAGGUAACUCACCUGCCAAUCGCACUUUGGCCUCGAUUAACCAGCGGAUGUCAGCAGGUAUGUUAUUCCUCAUGAGCAAUCGCAUGCAUUUAGACCGAGCUUUAUAGAUUGUAAGGAGGGCAUUAUGAGGAAGUGAAGGGAAUCGAUUGUGAAGCUUUGCUAAAAUAUCAUUUCUAUCCAUACCUUUGCCUCAGAAUAUCAGUUAUUAUGGGAAACUGAAGUAACCGACUUGAUUUCCACGGAGUACCGUUAUCCGCCACUUCACCGGGGGAACAAACUAAAGCACAUAAACAAAGAAAAACAAACUAAAACACAUAAAGAAAAUUACAAUCAUCCUUUUAUUUCUGUAAAAAAUUUGGCCUUGUCUUGCUUGGUCCAAUGCUCUGGAAGUUGACAUGUAACAAGAUAAUUAACUAUAUCAGCAUACCACGGUAAUACUUCCACACUCAUUAAUUGUUCAUCUAGAAAUGACUCAUUUAAUGUUUAAUGGUUCUGUAGUUGUGUCAAAAUUGAGACGAGAGAGAUAGUUAGCCACAACAUUUUCUGUGCCUUUUUUAUCUUUAAAUUCCAAGUCGAAUUUCUGCAAAAGUAACACCCAACGAAUUAGUAUAGCUUUUGCAUCUUUCUUUGUAAGAAGAUAUUUAAGAGCAGCAUGAUCUGUGAAUACAAUUAUUUUACAACCAAUGAGAUAAGAUCGAAAUUUCUCUAAUACAAACACUACUGCUAGCAUUUCUUUUUCAGUGGUUGAAUAAUUCAACUGUGCAUCAUUCAAUGUCAUACUAGCAUAGUAAAUAACAUGGGGAAUUCGAUCAAUUCUUUGUCCUAAAGCUGCUCAUACUGCAUAACCAGAUGCCUUACACAUGAGCUCAAAUGGUAAGCUCCAGUUUCGGGGCUGAAUGAUGCUGAUGAUGAAUAACUGCUUUAAUUUUUCAAAUGCCACAAGACAUGAAUCAUCAAAGUUAAAGGUACAUCCUUAGCAAGUAGAUUGCAUAAGGGUCUAGAAACUUUGCUAAAAUCUUUAAUGAAACGUCGAUAAAAACCAGCAUGCCCAAGGAAAUAUCUUACUUCUCUGACUGUUUUAGGUGGGGGAAGAUUGGAAAUGAGAUCCACCUUGGCUUUAUCAACCUCAAUACCUUUGCUCGAAAUGAUGUGACCGAGAAUAAUACAUUAUUUUGCCAUAAAAUGACACUUCUCUCAGUUUAAGACUAAGUUCUUCUCGAUACAUCUCUGCAGAACUAGUGUUAGAUGAUGUAAAUAUUGAUUAAAUGAAUCACCGAAGACAGAAAAGUCAUCCAUAAAAACUUCAAGAAAUCGUUCAACCAUAUCAGAAAAAAUGCUUAACAUGGAUCGUUGAAAUGUAGCAGGUGCAUUACAUAAUCCAAAUGACAUUCUCCUAUAUGCAAAUGUGCCAAAAGGGCAAGUGAAAGUGGUAUUCUCUUGAUCCUUUGGUGCUAUGGGGAUCUGAUUAUAUCCUGAGUAGCCAUCUAGAAAGCAAUAAAUUCAUGGCCUGCUAAUCUAUUAAGCACUUGAUCGAUAAAUGGUAAAGGAAAAUGGUCUUUACGUGUGACAGAAUUCAACUUUCUAUAAUCAAUGCAUACACGCCAUCCUGUAGUUACUCUAGUGGGUAUCAAUUCAUUAUCAGCAUUGGUAACUACUGUGACUCCUGACUUUUUGGAGACAACUUAUACAGAACUGACCCAUGAACUAUUAGAAAUUGGCUAAAUGAUACAUGCAUCUAAUAACUUAAAGACUUCAAUUCUAACAACUUCUUUCAUAUUAGGAUUUAACCGACGUUGCAUUUGUAUAGUAGGUUUAGCAUUUUCAUUAAGGUGAAUGUAAUGCAUGCAGUCUACUGGGUUUAUACCUUUUAUGUCCGCUACUGUCCAUCCUAAUGCUCAUUUGUGCUCUUUUAAAACAUCCAACAACUUACCUUUUUGUUCAUCAUUAAGGGAUGAUGAGAUGAUUACCGGUAAAAUACUUUCUUCUCCCAAAAAUGUAUACUCCAAAGUGUUCGGUAAUGGUUUGAGCUUGAGUUUCGGUGGUGAUUCUGAUGAUGGGAUGAGUUUCUUCUCUGAUGGUGCUAGUUGUUCAACUCUUGACUUCCAUUUAUUAGUGUCCAUGGAUGGUGCGGAGUGAAGUAGAGCAUUGACCUCAUCGACUGAUCUGUCAAUAUCAAAAUCCAAACCAAAAUGAGUUAAACAUGUUUGUAAAAGGUCAUCACUAAGGUUUGAAAGAAAAGUAUUAUCAACUAAUGUUUCUAUUAAAUCCACAUCAACAAUUCCAUCAUUUGCAUUGUGAGGUUGUUUGGCAAUGUUGAAGAUAUUUAGCUUCAUAGUCAUGUUGCCGAAUGACAACUGCAUAUUUCCAGUCCUGCAUUGAAUGUGAGCAUCGACAAUUGCCAAGAAAGGUCGGCCUAGGAUAAUGGGGAUGUGCUUCCUUGAAUCAUGGAUUGGUUUUGUGUCAAUUACAAUGAAAUCAAUAGGAAAAUAAAAUUUGUCUACCUGGAUAAGUAUGUCCUCUACAAUACCACGAGGUAUUUUCGUGGUUCAAUCUCCAAGCUGUAACACCACCGGAGUUGGGUGUAAUUCUCCCAGUCCAAGUUUCAUGAAUACUGAAUAAGGCAACAGAUUUACACUAGCUCCUAAAUCCAACAAAGCAUUCUCAAUUCUGUGGUUCCCUAUGCUACAUGAGAUAGUGGGGGAGCCCGGGUCUUUGCAUUUUAGAGGAAUUUUGUGUUGGAGUAUAGAACUAACGUUUUCUGUUAAAAAUGUCUUCUUUUGAACAUGAAUAUUUCUCUUUUUAGUACAAAGGUCUUUAAAAAACUUGGCAUAAGAUAAAACUUGUUUUAUAGCAUCAAGUAAAGGGAUGUUAACACUUACCUGUUUGAAGAUUUCAAAAAUCUCACUUGUGGAUUUCCCUUAUUUCCUUUAGCUAACCUCUGAGGAAAUGGAGCUUUGGGAAUGUAUUCUCGUGGGUUUGGUUUCUUCUUUUUCCUCUGAUGGUGAAUCAUCAACAUUCAUAGGUACAAUUUGAUUCGUUUUUGUCGCUGGCAUCUCCACUUUAUUAUCGACUUCUUUUCCUUUUUGCAAGGUCAUGACAGUUUUGACCUCUCCAUGUUGCUGUGGUGAGCUGAUACUUACUUCAUGCACUUCUUUAGGAUUAGGCACUGGUUGACUUGGAAAUUUGCCUUUCUCAACAGUCAUUGCCAAGGUUUGAACUAAAGAAGCAAGUUGUCCCACCAUCUUCUCGAGGCUUGAAACUGAUUGGGCUUGUGAGUUGAAGCCUGCUCUCAUUUCAUUUCGUAGUUCAUCAAUGGUGCGGUUCUGUUGCUCGAUCGUGGAGUGAGUAACAUUCCUGAAAUUGUAGAAUGCAUCCUCUCAUGGUCUGGGUUGAGAGUAGUUCUGGUUCUGAUUGUAUGGUCUAAAUGGUGGCUGAGAGGCUUGAGGAACUUGAGGAAUUGGUUGCAUAGGUGGAGUUGGAGCUGCUGGCCCAUUUUGUUGGAAUCCUUGAGACCAUGAAAAAUUGGGGUGGUCUCUCCAUUCAGGGUUAUAUAUGUUGGAGUAUGAGUUGUAAUUUGGUGGUUUUCUCAUGACACUUAUGGCAUUGGCUUGAUUUGAGUAUGAGUCAUGGUCAUGUGGCUCUGUUAAUUUAGCAGUCGAUAACGAUGCUAUUUGUCCGGAAAGACCUUCAACCAUCUCUUUGACUUCUUUGAUUCUCGAAGUUGACUCGCCAAUGUGAACCUCAUUCACUUCCUUAAUUCUUUUAGUAUUCCUGAGUGAUCGACUCCGUUGUUAGGAAUUAUCCGCUUGUCGUUGGAAGAAUUCCCAAAUCUCUGAUGUACUUUUUGACAUUAGCUCUCCUCCACUUGUUUCUAUUAUCCAUUCUUACACAUGUGCCAAUAAUCCCUCCAAAAAGUAUUGGAAUUGAUGUCAUUUCUUGUACCCAUGAUGUGGACACUUCAAAAGUAGCCCAUUGAAUCGCUCCCAUGUUUCGAAAAACUGUUCGUAUUCUCUUUGGGUAAACUCUGAAAUUUCCCUGCGAAUAGCAUUGGUUUUAUGCAUUGGGAAAUAUUUAUUCAAAAAUUUCGUUACCAUUUGUUCCCAUGAUAUAAUGCUAUUAACAGACAAUGUAUUAAGCCAUGAACGAGCUCUAUACUUGAAAGAAAAUAGGAAUAGUUUAAGUUUGACAUCAUUGUCUGAAAAAUUCUCAUAUUUAAAAGUUUUACAAACAUUAUGAAAAUCAUUCAAAUGAUUAUAUGGGUCCUCAUUUUCUAAGCCAUAGAAUGUUGGGAGACAAUUUAGCUCACUAGGUUUUAACUCAAAACUCCUAGCAGCUACAUUUGGGUAUCUUAUGUAUGAUGUGCUCAAAUUAACUAAAGGACUGAAGUAGUCCUUAAAUAGCCUCUCCUGUGGUGCUUGUUGUUGUUGCAAAUCCAUUUCACUUUUAUCUUUAAUUACAACGUGUUUGUGUGUGCGAAGUAUUUUUUCAAGUUCAAGGUCUAUAGGUUCAAGAUUAGGUAAUAAUGACCUUCGACCAUGCAUGCAAAGAACACAAAAUAAAUAAAAAUAAAGAAGAAGGAGAAAUUACGGUACUAACCUUGUCACGCUGUUACAACCUUUCUAUAAAAACACACUAAAACAAAUACGUGAAAUAAAUUAACUAAAAAUAAAUUAAUAAGAUAAACAAAAAAAAUUACAAAGGAAAAAAAUAACUUGAAAAUUAAACUACAAAAUUUUAAAGAAGAGAAAAAGAAAAGAAAUUCUUACCUCUAAAUGCAGAUUGUCCUUUUUUUUCUUUUUUUUAAAUAAAAAAUUACAAUAAAACAAUUAAAAGAAAUUAUUUGCAAAAAGUAAUUCUACGAAUUAAAAUAACUUACCUCCCCGGCAACGGCAACAAAAACUUGUUGUGCAAAUUUUAUUGAACUCGCAAGCUCACGAAUCUAUUGUAGAAUAGAUCAAUGGUGAGGAGUGUCGAUUCCACGAGGAGGUUGAUUUUAAUUGUGUAUAUAAUUAAUUUUUCUAAAUGGGUGGUUGGAUUUAUGGUAAAGAUGAUUUGGAAUAUCCUAAAAUUUAAAUUGAAAUGGCAAAAUUAAAUUAAAGUGGAAACUAUUAUAAUUGAAGCGCUUGCGUAUCUGGAUCCGCAUCAACAUGCACCAUGAGCUAAAUAUUCCUUAUUAGUGCCAAUUAAAUCAUGAGGGGGGAAUCCACACCUCAUGAACCACACUUUAAUCAAUAUGGUGCUAAGGGCUUAUCGUGUCAAAUAAUAAUAACUUUUUACUAGGGAGCCGGUAAAACCAGGGCGGUAUCUAGACAAGAUUGUUAUUAUUUGUCGACAACAAGUCAAAAACAUCCACAAUAAUUAGAGGGGAAGAGAAAUUAAAUUUACCAAAUAAAGCUCAUGGCACAUGUUGAGACUUCACCUUUAAUCCAAGCUUGAAAAAAAAUUAGCUACUCAUAAUUGAACUAGGGGCAAAAUGAGAAUUUAUUAAAAUAUGUAGAAAAUACAAGAUGGAGAAGGAAUUACAGAAAAUGAAGCUAAAAAAUGAAUUCAGAGAUGCCAAAUUAGGGGGGAGAGCCCCUUUUUUAUAGAUACACUAAGUAAAUCAUGGCCAUCGGAUUAAAAACAUUUUAGACGCUCAGGAUUGCGCCACAUCAUCAGUCAACAGUACGCGAUUUGACCACUUGGUUUGAAUAGUAACACAAUUUGACCACGCGGUUUGAAUAGUAACAUGGUUUGACCACGCGGUUUGAAUAGUGACAUGGUUUGAACAGUGACGCGGUUUGGUUGAAAAUAAUUAUGUGUAUAUGCAUGUACCGUACGCACGAUUUUUGAUCCAUUAACAUGCUGCCACGUCACCGAUCAACAGUGCAUAAGAAUUUUGUCCAAUAGAAUUGUGACACCUCAUCAGUCAAUGUCACAUCAUCGGUCAAUGCCACGUCAUCGUUCUGUAUAUGUGAACAGUAUCGUGAACAGUAACAUGGACAAUACUGUACAUGUGAAUAGUACCGUACAUGUGAACGGUGACAUUUUUCUUUUUAUGCUCCUUCUAAGGUUUUCGACUAUCCUGAGUUCAAAAGUGAUGUCCGUUUUGUUGUCUGAUCUCUCGUUCAUUGUGAAAUGACCAUGAUGCCCCUAAAAUACAUAAAAUACUUAAUUAAAAUAAAACACACAUAAUUAAAUCACAAGAGGUUUAAAUACAUAAAAGUAAGGGUAUUAGUAAGACUUAAAAUGUAAAAUGACGAUUUUCUCCUUUAUAAAUAUACACUUUCUAACACUCAACACCAAUCUCCUGCUUGGAAUUGCCUCAUGCGUACAUUCUUGUUGUAGUAUCGCAUGAUUCUUUGUUGGCAUUGGGCUACUUUCUAUGAGGCCCCUUCUCUUUUUUCCUCCAAUAGGUCUAGACUCGUACAUAGCUGCUCAUCAUUCUGUUCCUCGUUGAAAUAUUUUGUCCAAUGCGUUCCCACCCCAAUCUCUGCUGGGAUUACUGCCUCAUUACUGAAAGCUAAGGCAAAUUGGGUUUGUCCCGUGGCGGUUUUGUGGGUUGUCCGGUAUGCCCAUAACACUCCUGGUAAUUCGUCGACCCAAACUCCCUUCUUCUCUCCCAGCCUGGUUUUUAGGGGUUUCUUUAUAACUUUGUUGGCUGCCUCUACCUGCCCGUUUGCCUGGGGAUGUGCCGGGGUACAAAACUUCAAUUCUACGCCCAAGUUUUGGCAAAACUCUCUGAAAUUGUGGUUGUCAAAUUACCUCCCAUUGUCCGUUAUGAUAGUAUAGGGAAUUCUGUAUCUGUAAAUGAUGUUCUUCUAAACAAAACCAGUUGUCUUCUUCUCCGUUAUUUGACUGAGGGCUUCCACUUCCACCCAUUUUGUGAAAUAAUCUAUAGCUACAAUUGCAUGUGUUGCAGCUCCUCGUCCUUUGGGUAAUAGACCGAUCAGGUCAAUCCCCCACUGGGCAAAAGGCCAAGGGGAUGACAUAGCAGUUAACUUCUCUGGGGGCUGAGCAGGGACAACUGAGAAACUUUGGCAGGCUUUACAACUUCUGGUCAUCUCUUUCACAUCCUGGUGCAUGGUCGGUCAAAAAUUUCCUUGUCGUAGCGCUUUGAACGCUAAAGUCCUUGCCCCCGAAUGAUUGCCGCAAAUUCCCUCAUGUAUUUUUCUUAACACAUAAUCAGCUUCCUCGACGUCUAAGCACCUCAACAGGGGCAAGGUGAAACCUCGGCGGUAAAGCAUCCCAUCAAGCAUCGUAUACCUUGCCGUUGGAAAUUUCAAUUUCUUUGCUUGCUUCCUGUCCUCUGGUAAAAUGCCAUCGCAUAUGUACGAGAGGAUUGGGUCCAUCCAGGACCUUUCAGUGUCUACCCUCAUUACUUCUAUUUCCUCCCCUAUACUUGGCGAGGUCCUCACUUCUAAUGGGACUGACUUGGCCAACUUCGGACCUGCAAUUGUGGCCAUUCUAGCCAACAUAUCUGCUCGGUAAUUCUUUGUCCUGGAUAUCUGCUUUAUUUCUACCUCUCGGAAGAGCCCAAUCAUCUGCUUUGCCUUCUUCAAAUAAAGCUCCAUCUUCUCUUCCCUAGCUUGGAAUUGCUUAUUGAGCUGAUUACAGACCAGCUGGGAAUCUGCUCGGAUCUUUACCCUUUCCGCUUGUAGUGUGUGUGCCAACCCGAGCCCAGUGAUGAAUGCUUCAUAUUCUGCCUGAUUAUUCGUGAGCUGAAAUUCGAACUUCACUGCGUAGGACACCUCGGCCUCUUCUGGGCUUCGUAUUACCAUUCCUGCUUCGUACCCUUGUUCACUGCGUGACCCAUCAACCAUUAUCAACCACACCCCCUCUGGUUUUUUUGAUUCAACCGGUUACUCCUCGUGAACCCCUUCCCCUGGCUCCGUAUAGUCCACCACAAAAUCGGCCAAGGUUUGCGCUUUGAUCGCUCCUCGAGGUCUGUAAGUUAGGUCGAACUCACUCAGCUCCACAGACUAUUUCACUAACCGACCAGAUGCAUUUGGUUUUAGGAGCAUUUGCCGAAGAGGUUGGUCAGUCAUCAUAACUAUCGGGUGUGCUUGGAAGUAUGGUCUGAGCUUACGUGCUGCCGUUACUAAAGCCAGCGCCCAUUUCUCCAUUAUGGGAUAUCUGGUUUCUGCGUCAACCAGGGCCUUACUAGUGUAAUACACUGGGUGUUGCUUUCCCUCAUCUUCUCUGACUAACACCAAGCUGGUAGCCUACUUAGAGACAACCAAGUACAAAUACAACUCGUCACACUCUCUCGGAGUUGAUAACAAUGGGACACUAGCAAGAUACUCCUUCAGCUACCCAAAUGCUUCCUCGUAUUCUGCUGUCCACUCCAUUUUCCUUCAUUUCCUCAUAAUCUAGAAGAAAGGGUGACAUUUAUCCGUGGCUCGUGAAAUGAACCGAUUCAAUGCCGCCAACUUCCUUGUAAGGCUUUGCACCUCCUUAACUGUUCAGGAGGACUUCAUUUCUAUCAUUGCCCGUAUUUUUUCUAGGUUGGCCUCUAUCCCACGGUGGCUCACCAGAAAUCCCAAGAAUUUACCCAAGCUAACUCCAAACGCACACUUCUCCGGAUUCAACUUCAUUCGGUACUUCCUCAGUAGGUCAAAGGUUUCUUCCAAAUGCCGUACAUGAUCUGCUGAGUUCUUAGACUUCGUGAUCAUAUCAUCCACGUAUACCUCUAUGGUGUGUCCAAUCAACAGCUUGAAAAUCCUAUUCACCAACCUCUGAUACGUUGCUCCUGUAUUUUUCAAGCCGAAGGGCAUCACCCUGUAGCAAAACAAACCCAUGUUAGUUAUAAACGUGGUGCUCUCCUCAUCCUGUUUGUCCAUGGGUAUCUGGUUGUAUCCAGAAAAAGCGUCCAUAAAACUGAGCAGGCUGUGGCCCGCCGUUGAGUCAACCAACUGAUCUAUUUUAGGCAAGGGAAAACCAUCCUUUGAGCAUGCCUUGUUGAGGUCUGUGAAAUCCACACACAUUCUCCAUUUCCCGUUUGCCUUCUUUACCAACACCACGUUGGAGAUCCAUUCUGGAUACUUAGCCUCCCUUAUAAAUCAUGCUCGUAACAACUUCUCCACCUCAGCAUUUAUGGUCUCGUAUCUUUCUUAGUUAAAGCAUCUCAUUUUUUAUCUUACCGGCCUAGCCCCCUUUCUGAUAACCAACUUAUGACAGGCCACCUCGGGAUCAAUUCCUGGCAUGUCUUUGUGCGACCAUGCAAAUAUGUCUGUGUAAGACCGUAGGCAUCUUAUCAACUAGCCCCUUGUAGCUUCGCCCAAUCCUGACUCGAUCCUUACUACUCUGCUCGGGUCAUCCUUGCUCAUCAAAACCUCCUCUAGUUUCUCAGCUGGUUCCUGGCGACCCUUCUUGGAAUCUCCUCGGUUAUCCAGCGUGGUAACUUGUAAUGUUUCCUUGGCGGCUGUAGCUUAACAACUCCUCGUCAUUCGUUGGUCACCUCUCACCACGCCCACAACCCCGUUCACUCUGUAUUUCAACACCAGAUAAUGCGUGGAUAUAACACAUUGGCUUACCCUCAUGAAAGGUCGCCCUAGUAUCAUCUGGUAAGGGCUUUUCUCUUCCACUACUACAAAGUCCAGUAUCAUUAUUUUUUCGAACGACUUUGAUCCCACUGUAAUCGACAGCUCGAUGAUUCUCAUGGGGGUCAACCGUCCUCCACCAAAUCCCUUCAGGGAUGUGUUUGUCCGUUCCAACUUUAAUUCUGUGAUUCUCAUCUCAUCCAAAGUCGACUUAAAAAGUAUAUCGACCGAGCUGCCUGUGUCCACCAAUAUUCGCUGAAACUCUUUACCCGCCGCAGUCGCCUUAAUUACCAGUGCAUCCUCAUGGGGGUAUAAGACACCUUCUUCGUCAUCGUCCGUCCACAUAAUGGGAACUUGUCUUACCCUCGCCCCUUAGCAGCCGGCAAAUUGAAAAACACUUCUUUACUGGUCAGGGCAUAUCGUCCAUAAUUCUUCCUGGCCCUGUUUGAAUCUCCAGCUAAUGUUGGCCCUCUUGCUAUCACCCGGAUGGUUGGCUGCUCACGCUCCAGACUCCUCUCAACUCUAUCCCCCAGCGCAUAUUGUGAUUCUAUGACAGGAAAUGCCCCAUCCACAUACUCAUCCCAGUAUCAGUUUCUUACCAGAUCCUUCACCUGGUUUUUUAAAUCACGACACUGGCCGAUAGUGUGGUCACAAGUGUCGUGGAACUUGCAGAAUUUGCCUUUAUCCCGUUUGUAAGCUGGUUUGGCUACAGGAGCAGGGGGUACAGCAGGCCUCAUCCUUUAAUUCUUUCAUACAAUUCUUCCAUAGAAACUUUCAACGGGGUGUACUACUUAUACGCCAAGCUCUGAUCAAUCAGUUGGACUGCUCGGCUGUCAUGAAAAUCAUCUCGGGUUGGCACUGGGGGCGGUUGGUUUGGUCGGCCCACCCUGGGGUUAACUGCAUUCAACGCCCUAAGAGCGUUGUGAUAAGGAUGGGCAGCCAUCUGUCGGAAUUCACGCUGCCGCUCAUGGAAUGGGGAGCGCUGAUGCUGAGCUCGACUGUGUUGGAACUGUUGUGGUCUUUGAGUUAUGGGGUAAGGGCGGGACCGAGCUGAUGUUCCCCCCAUUAUUGAUGAUUCCCCAGCUCACUUUUCAGACCCGCUCCCACUCAGUGUUCUCUUUUCCUUUCGCCUCAUCUCCUCCAGCAGUUCACUUUUUAUCCUCGCCGUUUUCUCCUCUUCAAUUUCUAUAUCUCUCCUCGCCUGCUUGUAUCCCGCCGAAUAGCUCUGAAUGAUGGGAUUUCUUAGGUUGUACCACAAUCGGCCUAUCUUCACACCUUCUUUUAAUCAUUUCAGUGCUUGUGGGUGAUUGAAAGCUCCUAGAUCAAGCACGGCCCGAUGAUAUCUAUUCACGAAAUUGCGAAGGGAUUCGUGCUCCUCUUACUUCAUCCCCAUCAAUUCCAUCAUGUCGUCCUCUGGGGCUACCGCUCCACGGAACUACCCGGCCAACUCUUGGAACAUUUGCUCAUAGCCCCUUAUACUUCCACGCGGCAACUUACGGUACCACUCUCGGGCUCGUUCCUCUAGUGUCAAUGGGAACACCCUACACCUCUAAGCUGGUAUUAACCCCUGCACACCCGUCAUGUCAUUAAAACGCUCAAUAUGCACCAGCGGGUCGCUUCUCUCAGAGUAUUUGAGGUCGGAAAAGUGAAAAUCUCUCGGGAUCAUAGUACCCAUGAUCUCGGCUGAUAGCGGAGACUCUUCAUCCAGCAUUAUCCUCCAGCUCAGUGGCUUUCUCUUGCCUUGAAUCUCAUCCAUCACCUGCGCCAACCGUCGUACCUCACCUUCCAAUUCUAAAGCGCGGUCAGGAUCGCGUGCGGCUACUUGAUCUUGCUCCUGCUCAGCAUUAUGCAGUCGCUGUCUGAGCUCACUUUCCUCAACAUUUGUUCCUCGGCUAUGAAUUCCCGGAGCACGCCCAGAGCGAGAUUGGUCUCUCCUCUCAUCCGCACGCUCUCCUGGGAUCCGAACUGCACUUCUAUGGGGAUGCACCCCAUAAGGUUGCUCCGCCAACGGAGGAAUCUCCUCGGUUCUACGCCUCCGAUGGCUGGGCUCUGCGAUGGCUUCAUCUCUCACUGCGGUGGUCUCAUACUCCCUUAUCCGCUCAUCUUUCAGCUCAUGCAAUAUAGCUAUGAGAGUCUCCAUUUGCUUCUCCAUCUACUCCAUUCGUUCUUGCAUCAUUCUCUCUCUAGCCUCGUUUGCUAUCUCUCGGAGAGUUAUCGUCUCGCCGGUUUCAUUGUCGCCCCCCAGGGCGUCCUUCCUUGUCACAUCCAUAAGUGAUCGCCUGCUGCUCCUCUGAUGAUUAGUAACUUGGUGGUAGCUUUUUAUCCAGCUCCCCACAGACAGCGCCAAAAUAUUGAUGCUGAAAUCUGGUCGCCCUUAGCCCGACCAGAUCGUUCCACCAACGCUUGUGUUGAGAACGGAGAAGAGGUUGCACUCUCCCUGCUUUAGCGAUUGCCCGAGCUCCUGGGACCCAAAUCACUUUUUCUCUUCUUUCCAAGCCUGCGUUCACAGAAACAAGUCAGAGACGCUGGUGGUUUUACUGGCGUAAACCCUCCGAUGCUUAAGUCAGUAUAAGGUGUUUACGGGAAAGCAAUGUGAUUUAAGUUGAGUAAACUAACUAUAAUAUUCUCAACACAAUGUAUAUCAAAGAUCUGUAUAGAAUAAAUUCUGGUUUUAGUUUGGCAGAGUUUUCCCUUCUCUCUUAAUUUUUUCGUCCCAUUCUUCAUCGGUUUCUUGGCCUUUUAUAGGCAAUCAUCCCACGUUUUCUGAGUAUUCUUCAUGCCCCCCAUUUUAGGGUGAUGACGGACCUUCAUGGGUCUCCAACCACCGAAUCGUGGGUAAACGUGGGAUGUCAUGUUCUCUCCAGCGGUUUGGGGCAUGGCGAAACUGUCGUGAGUUCAUGAGAUCGUGUCCUUUUUCUUCGGGUGAUGAGUAACUGGUCAGUAUGUACCUUUGGUCGGUACUCGUUUAUAGUUGGCAUAUGCCCUGUACAUGAUGUAUUACCAGGACUCUUCUCGUGCCAUUCAGCUGGGGAGAUUCGCCCCAGGGUGAAUGGUGAGGAGAUAGCUGAGCUGGUACUUUUCAUUACUCAACAAAAUCUAUUAAAGACAAGGUCUCAUACUGUUAUAUAUUUUCCUUCCUUUCGUAUUGUUGAUUAUUUGAAAAAAAAAUGAAAAAAAAUUGACAUGCACAUCUAAGGAGGAGGAUAUUUUUAUCCCAUCAAUUAUUGGUGUGCGCAUAAACAUGAUUGAUUUUAAGCGUUUGUCAUUUUGCUUCAUCAAAAUAGCCAUUAAAUGCACAAGAAUAAGGAGUCAACUUCAUGCCCCUAUUGAAGAGAUGGAUAAUCUCUCUCAUUAUAAUCUAAAAAAAAAAAAUGGCACCCUAUUAUUAUUUUUAUGAUAUUUAAAUAGGUUGUAUGGCAUUGGUCCUACAGUUAAUUUUAUCAUUGUAUCCUAUAUUUUAAGCGAAUUGUUUGGCUAUCAUUGUAUCCUAUAUUUUAAGCGAAUUGUUUGGCUCGAUCUUUGUAAUUAGUAACCCGCACUUAAAAAAUUAUCAUGAUUCAUGAGUUCAUUGUAUCGAUGACUAACUAUUUUAAGUGAAUAUUUUAUUUUCGUUUUGAGUGGAGUUAAAGAAGAUUAUUGAUUAUGGUUUGUUAGAUAUUUUGAUGGUUUUCUGAGAUUCCUUUUGUUUUAUUUUUUAUUUUUCAUUGUAACAAGGUAGUUUUUGUAAAUAAUAUUACAUACUUUUUCUUUCUUUUUAUCUCUUAAAUAAAUUAUAUAGGCAAUUGGAUUUGUUUUCCUACAAGGUUGUGUGUGGGUAUAUAUAUAUAUAUUAAAAUAUUACUAAAUGAAAACACUACGUAGAAACAACAAAUAAAAUUUUAUUUAGCGGUUAUCAUUUAGAAUCGUCAUUGUUUGAUGUAUUUAGAGCUAAAUGUUAAUAUAAUAAUUGCAUAAUAUGUCAACAUGUUUCUAACAAUUUUUUUUUUUUUUUAAUGUAUGACUUAAGAUAUUAGUAAAACAACUCUCAACAUUUGACAGUAUUCGGAUGCAUAUGUAUACAUUAAAAUUUAGAACAAUGGAAUCAUAAAAUCUGGGAAUUUAUUUUAUAUGCAACUUUGUAUUAUUUUCUUUUUUUAUUAUUUUUAACCAGUAUAUAUUUAGUUUUAGACUUGACUUAAACAAGCAUUAUUAAAGAUGUGAAUUUUGUUGAACUAACCCAUCGAUGCACUUUAGUACCCGAUGAGUUAUGCAUGUAUUUUAUGUGUGCGCCAUUUUAUGUAUUUAUGCACGUAUAAGAUCUUAUAAUGGACAAAAAUGAAGUCUAAAUUUUAGUUAUGUGGAGAGAUGUUUUGAAAUGCUGCAGUUUAUACGUGCCAGAAAGGCUGUUGUCAGUAAUGCAUCUAUGUGGGACACGUUAAAGCUGUUACCUAAGGAAGUUGUUCCAAAGUCCUACCGAGAUUGGAUUGAUAUGACUCCACAAUGUGAAUCGUUUAUGCAUAUUCAUUUGGGGUUUGAUGCAGAGGUGAGUGACUCCACAAUGUGAAUCUCAGCAACUGAUCUCAGUAAAUCUAAGUGUGCGUCAAGUCUGUGCCACACAUAUUUGUCAUAUAGCGAAUCAAGCAAGACCAUUUAUUAACUAUUGAGCCUUCAGGAAUGCAUAAACUGAUUUAAAAAGCCCUGCAACAUAACUGGUAUCAAUGUCCAGAACCAUGAUGACAGCCUGAAAAUCCCAAAUUAGGAAGAUGGUGUCUUAGAUGUAGGACCAUGAUGAAGCCCUCUGUUGACUUGAAUGUUUAAACAGCUUCAUUUUCUAUUAAAGGAAAAGAGAAGGGAAAGACACUUACGGUUUAGCAUAGACACACCAUAUUAUAAGGUAUGAUUUUGGUUGUCACAAGCAUUUGCUCUAAUAUAUCAAAUGAUAUCUACUGUAAAGGUUAUUAAAUCAUUGUAAUAUUAAUAAAUACUCAGAAAUCACUGUAAUUUUAGUAAAUAUUCGGACUUAUGAAAAUAUUAAGUGUUUUGAAAUAUUGUGUAAUCUCCUGACUUAGUCAUUCUCGAUUGAAUCAAUCUUCUGCCUGGAAAAUUUUUUGAUCCUGUUACUUCCUUUAGUAAAGCAUUUUUCAAAAAAAUUUAUAAUCCAGGUCAUUUGGAGAGCCGUGGAGCGUGCACUUGGUCCGGGUUUUAGUCGGGACAAGUGUGAUGUGAAAUUUGUUGGAACUCCAUUAACACAUCAAAGGUUUCUUCGACGGAAUAGAGGAACUUAUGGGCCAGCGAUACAGGCUGGUAAAGAAACGUUUCCUGAGCAUUCAACUCCCAUUCCACAGCUCUAUUGUUGUGGUGAUUCUACUUUCCCGGGCAUAGGAGUCCCUGCAGUCGCUGCUAGUGGUGCCAUUGUUGCUAACUCAUUGGUUUCGGUUUCUCAACACUCAGAACUUCUUGACGCCAUUGGAAUUUGAAAUACAUAGGUGAAUUCAUACUAUUUAUGUUUGGCUCUGGAUGCCUCCAUUUGUAGAGACACCUUUCUCAACUUUGCAUCUUUCGAAAAAUGCAGUUAACUUUUGUUCUUUGAGAUAUCCAACGUCAUUUAUUUUUUAACAAUCUGAUUAUAUGUAUUUUACUUUUAUGUACAAGUGAAGUUAUCGAAUCGAUUAUCAAUGCAUCAGUUUGUGUUCUCAUAGUGUUUUAAUUUCAUAUUUGUGGCAGUGUAUCACCUUUCUUUUGCCAGCUGAGAGGUACAUACCUCAUCAAUGGAAUAUGCUCUAUUGGAAGAAGUUCUUUUAACUUAUUUUUUUAAAUUAGCCCCUACGGAAUAAAUCUCUGGCCCUGUCAAACUUUUGAGAGAACCAGUUUAUCUAACAUUUUUUGUUCCUUCUUUUCAUUGGAUGUGGUCUUAUUCCCAAUCCCUCAGCUCAUCACGUUUUGCUGAAACAUGUGAUAUUAUCAACGUGCCAAUGAUUGCAUUUUGAAGUUCUUAAUGGUCAUCAAAUCGUCCAUAUAUUUGAUUUUUCCAAGACCACGCAAAGAAAUGCAAUACAAUUAUUGGGCCAGAUAAUAAUAAUGUUCUGUUUGUGUUUUGUAUGCGAACUGCAAUUGUGGUGUUGUAGCUGCUGCAAAAUUAAAAAAAAAAUUAUUUAUUAAAUUAUAAUUUGGUAAACAUAAUUUUUAAUAAAAUAGUGAAAGUAAAUAGAUUUUUUGCCAAAUAUCUAGCUACGUGGUAAAAUUAGCUCAAUCUUUUGUUGUGAAAGCACAAUGAUAAACAGUAAUAUCAAACGAAGGCUAAAUUAAAAUUGUUUAGCGAAAUUUCACAGCUAAUAUUAAGAUCGAGUUAAAAAAAAAAAAAAUCCUAUUUGCAAACUUGAAACUGCGUGGGAAAGUAUUCAUUCUAUUCACACCUUUAAAAUUCACAUAUUUAACUUGACUUACAGUGUAUAGGUAUUUUCUGUAUGAUUGUUGUUUAUAAAAAUAAAAGCGUGAUUAUAUAUUUUUGUUAAGUUUUCAAAUAUUUUUGUUUAGUUUGAGAUAUUGGAGGAAAUUAAUAGGAAAUUGUACUAGAUGUAAUAUACACCCUAGUCCCUAGUUCUUUCUCGUCAUUCUUCGUAAUGGGUUUCAUCUUUAAUACUUCCCUUAUAUUUGGCAGGACUCAAAAUUGCUCAAUUUUAAAAAUCAUCAAAAUUUUUACUAUUCAUUUUUUAAGAUUUUUUAAAUAAUAUUAAAUAUCCAUUUUAAGUGGGGAUGACAAUGGGUUAGGUAUGGUGCAAGAUAUCAAUCGUGUAUUCUCUUUACCCGUUCUUAUAUGUUGCAGGCUUAAACAUAUAUAGAUCAUGAUUCUCAUGUAGAAAUGGAGAAUAAAAAAAAAAGGCAAUUUCACAUUGAUGGUAUAAUUUACAAAAAUAAUAAAACUAAUGUGAUGGAUUAAAAAAUAAAAAACUAAAAAAAGCAGUUUUUAUAUUUCUUAGGCCUGGCAAUGAGUCGUAUUUGAGAGAUUUUGUGUUAAAUUACAUAUACCGAAAUCCAUCCAUUAAUUUAUUUGGGUAAAAAAUACAAAUACGAACCCAUUGAUUACCAUUAUUGUGUUAUUCAAACCAACUCAUUUAACCCGCUCUUCUUGGUAAUUUUAAAAUUAUUAUUCAAAAUAUUGUUAUAUCUUUUUAGUUUAAAACACAAAAAAAAAAUUUACAAAAUAGACUCUUAAAAAAUAUAAUACCAAAAAAAAAAAAAUAUUCAUCAUGUUUAACAUGAUUGAAUAAUAUAGUCCACAAAAUUGUAUAAUUAUUUAAAUAAGAAUACUUAUCCAAAAUUAAAAUAAAAAGUAAUUUACUUUUUCUUUAAAAAUUUAUAAUUUAAAAUUAUUAUAAUUUCAAUAUUAAGUGUUAAUGGAUAGUGUGAAAUGGAUUUUGAUACUUAAAUGCAAAUUCGGCUCCUUAUUGAAUGAGUUUUAAUGGGUUGAUUCAGUAAUGACCCAACCUAAAAAAUGUCGACCCGAUAACAGUUUUUAUCAUGUGGGUUUGUAUCAUGUAAGUGGGUCGUAUUAAAAAAAAAAAGAAGAAGCAAUUUCGCAUUGAUGGUCUAAUUUACAAAAGUAAUAAAACUAAUGUGAUGGAUUAAAAAAUAAAAAACUAAAAAAAGCAGUUUUUAUAUUUCUUAGGCCUGGCAAUGAGUCAUAUUUGAGAGGUUUCGUGUCACAUUCUAUCGUAUCGUGUUAAAUUACAUAUACCAAAAUCCUUCCAUUAAUUUAUUUGGGUCAAAAAUACAAAUAUGAACCCAUUGAUUACCAUUAUUGUGUUAUUCAAACCAACUCAUUUAACCCGCUCUUCUUGGUAAUUUUAAAAUUAUUAUUCAAAAUAUUGUUAUAUAUUUUUAGUUUAAAACACAAAAAAAAAAUUAAAAAAUAGGCUCUUUAAAAAUAUAAUACCAAAAAAAAAAGUUCAUCAUGUUUAACAUGAUUGAAUAAUAUAGUGCACAAAAUUAUAUAAUUAUUUAAAUAAUAAUACUUGUCCAAAAUUAAAAUAAAAAGUAAUUUACUUUUUUCUUUAAAAAAUUAUUAUAAUUUCAAUAUUAAGUAAUAAUGGAUCGUGUGAAAUGAAUUUUGAUACUUAAAUGCAAAUUCGGCUCCUUAUUAAAUGAGUUUUAAUGGGUUGUUUCAGUCAUGACCCAGCCUAAUAAAUGUCGACCCAAUAACAGUUUUUAUCGCGUGAGUUUGUAUCGUGUAAGUGGGUGGUAUGAAAUUUUGCUAGGCCAAAUAUUUCUAAGUCUAAAUUUUACAUUUGGGUCUACUUUUUAAUAAGCUACUAACUUCAACACAAAAAAAACUAAAUAAUAUAAAUUCUCAAAAGUCAAACGAGUAUGAAAAAUUAUAUCUUUUGAAAUACAAGUAUGCAAUCCAAGAGGGGGGGUGAAUUGGGAUUCUAAAAAUUAUUAGAUUCUAAAAUAAAUUAUCAUGCAAAUCUAAAAUAAAUUUAAUGGAAUAACAAUUAAAUCAAUUACAAUAUAAAAAGAUAAGGGAAGAGAGAUUCAAACACGAAGAUUUUUACGUGGUUCGGCCAACCUCGCCUACGUCCACGCCUCCAAGCUUUUCGGGCUUGAGAAUUUCACUAAGCAAGUCUCCAAGGCUUCAAAUGCUUACACUUGACUUCCAAUGUGUCAAUGAACCUUUACAACAAGAGAUUAUCUCCAAUCUCUUAUCCCAAGUGUAUCCCAACACUUACAAACACUCAAAGUAGAAGAUUAAAAAAUUAUUUUUCUCUCACACAAUAUUUAAGAUUACAAAUCAAUGCCCAAUGUGUGAAUAGAUGAAACAAGAAUGUGUUUUAAAGCUCUAUGAAGAUUGUAUUCUCGAAUAUAAGCUCAAUGGUCGUGUUGUGAUCAAUCUUGUUUGAAUUUGAAUGAGCUUAUUUAUAGUUGGAGCUGAAAACUAGCCGUUAUUGACUUUCUGUACAUUGUCGGAUCGCCGUUAACUAGAUGUCGGAUCGCCAUUUGACUGGUCAAUAUGACCGUUGGGCUGAUUUUCAAAUUUGUCGGAUUGCCGUUAUCUAGGUGUCGGAUCACCGUUUAGGUCCAGAGGCUGAUCUUCAGUUUUGUUCAAUAUCGGUGAGCCGUUUAUCAGAUUUGUCGGAUCACCGUUUAGGUCCAGAGACUAAUCUUCAAUUAUGUUUGAUAUCGGCGAGCCGUUUAUCAGAUUUGUCGGAUCGCCGUUUAGGUGCAGAGACUAAUCUUCCAUUCUAUUUGAUAUCGGCGAGCCGUUUAUCAAAAUUGUCGGAUCGCCAUUUUUCACAGAAACUGCUGCAGUGAACUAUUUUGCAAGAUAACUGUUUGUCUCCAAAUCUUUAUAAAAACACUUUAUAAAACUUGUCAAAAUAGAUGAAAAUUAUUUUGAGUUUUUAAAAGAUUAAUCAAUCUUAAUCAAGUUUGUUAUCAUCAAAAUCAAUAAAGAAAUAUUUAUGUUAACAAUCUCCCUUUUUUUUAUGAUGUCAGACUUUUCAAGAAAAUACUUGUGCAAUUUUGCUCCCCCUAAAUAUGUGUUCCCCCUAAGUGAAAUUUUUAAGGAAUUUUUAACUUCCCUUAAAUAUGUGUCCAUUUAGUUUUAAUCUCAAAAAUAAUUUUAAACAAAAACAGAUUGAUUUGAUAAUAAUUCUCUCCCCCUUUAUCAUAAAAAAGAAAUAAGCGCGAAAAGAUGAAAAAAAGAGGUUGAGGGAUUUACUUAUAUUGGAAAAAAAAAUUUCGGCCGAAUCUCCACUUAAAAAUGAGCAUAUCCUCAACAAUACAAAGAGUUAAAAGAAACACUUCCAUAUAUAUAGAUACCAACUUAUCAACCAACCUCCAUGCCAACAAUCAAACAGAUCAGCAAGAUAAACAAGAUAUCAUCAAAAUCAACUCAAACAUAAGUAAAGUCCACAUAUCCAACAGAAAACAUCAUAAAAGCAUCAUAAGCAUAAACAAAAGACAAAUAACAUCAUAAUAACUACAUGAAAUGAGUGAUGUCUGUGCGAAAAUCAGAGGGGCAGAAAACUAAGACGGGGGCUGUGAAGAAGAGCUGCCUGGGUCAUAACCAAAGUAACCGAGAAUACGGCGCUGGCCAGCAAGUAACUCCAUCUGCUGAUCUGAAAUUUGCUGCCGAAAGGUCGCAAAAUCAUAUUGAAGUUGCUGCUGCUGCUGGGACAGAAAAUCCACUUUGUCAAACAAUUGCUGAAAGCGAUCCGCAGGAACGGUCGAUGCUGCAGGAGGGACGGCGGUCUCUGCUGGCUCGUCAUCCUGAGAGGAAGCUGCUGCUCUGCGAGGGACACGUGGUCUAGCCCCAAGGCGGAAAUCGGGUAACUCAUCCUUGGAAUAGACGUCAUUUAACAUACGAUCAUCCGCUGGUGCAAGCAGAGUAUCUUCAUUCUUAGAGGAUGUUGUCUUUUCCCACUUCCCACGCUUCUUAAAAAAUCCGAUCGCAUAAAUAAUCUCUCGACCGAGCUUACGGGUCUCGAGAUAAACAGGCUUAGUGAUAGGUACUCUAAAGAAUUUCAAGAUCCUAGUAAUGAUGCUGCCAUAUGGAAGGGAUUGGUUUGAGACUCUAGGUGUGGACAGCAUAUGACAAAGGAUAGUGUAGGAUAAACUCACAUGCCGUCUACGGAUGAGGGAAUCUAAUAAACCAACAUCAAGUCGAGUUACCUCAUCAGUGUGACCCUGUCUAGGGGUGACCAUGUGUUGGAGAAUGAUAUGAAGUAUUCGAACCUGGAAAGGGAGGAGUUGAGACCUAAAGGACAAAGAACAGACGUCAUCGAAAAGAUCCUGAUGCCUACAAAUGUUCCGUACACUGUCCACAUGACGGAAAUCACUAAAGUCAAGUUCUUUCCUAGCGGUGUAAAUGUCUAAGCCUCCAUAAGAAAUUCCAAGAAUACUACAUAAUUAUAGCUCAUCAAGCUCAAUACGAAUUCCUCCUACGGAAGUAUAAAGUUCAACUCGACGGGAAGAGGAGAGUUCCAUAUUAGAAUAAAAGACACGGACUAGAUUUUCAUAGAUGGGCUCUUCUAUACUUAAGGCUUCAUUCCAAUGGCUAAGCAAUUGAGUAAUAGUACGACCACAAAUGGUAAUAUCCGAAAACUCCGUAAUGUUAAGAGAAAAUGAGGGAGUUACCGGUUUGCCCAUGAAUUUGUCACGAAAUCGCUGAGCAGAGGUGUCAUUGGAAAAAUGGAGGCUCUCGAAGUCCUGAGAGGGAGGCCUGGAGGGACUGGAACGACGCGGAACAAUGUGCUUGGUUCGAGCACGCCUCUGUGGUCGUUCUGCCAUUGAUGAGUUUGGAGAAGUUUGAAUAUGAAAAAAUAAAGUUUGAGUGAUGAGAGAGUAAUGACAAGUUGAAAUGUGAUUGAAAUUGGAAGAAAUUUGGGUUAAUUUUGACGAGAGAAGUGCGGCUGGUUCUAGGGUUUUAAAUUUGGGAUUUCUUAAAUUUUUAAUCAAAAAUGAGUUUUGAUCAGUUAAAAAGGGUCUAAACAAGAUGAGAAAGGUUUCGAAUGGUUCAAUUUGAUGAGAGAGCAAGAAAAAUGGUGGAUUUGAGAGAGAAACGAAGGGUUAGUCGCGGGUUUGAGAGAGAGAGCAAGAACGAAAUGAAGAGGAAGAUGAAGGACUGUUCACUUAUCGCGCGAUAACGGCGAGCCGACAGCGUCCAGAGAGCUCCCCAAAAUUUUGUAUCAAGACAGCGAGCCGGUUAUAGAUAUAUCGGCGAGCCGACAGGGUCCAGAGAGUUCCCAAAAAAAUUUUCAUCAGGACGGCGAGCCGACAGAGUCCAGAGAGUUCCCCAUUGUUUCUGCCCUAAAACGGAUUGCCGUUAUUCUAACCGUUUAUUGAAAUAACGGCAAUCCGUUUUCUACAACGUAUGAUUUCGCACAUUUAUUUUAGUAUUUGGCCAACAAUUAAUACAUUUCAAGAUCAUUUAAUUGAUCCAAAAUGUUUUAUGAGCCAUUUUAAUGCAUGAUUCAUGAACAUGUAUUCAAGCAAUUAAUUCAUAUAAUCAAUCAAGAAUUAACAAAGCGAAUACAUCAUUUGAAUAUCAAGCUUAAGCAUUUCAUAAAUAUUAAAUCACCAAUAAGUCAAUCAAUUCAAUACACUCAAUAGCAUGAAUAGAGAUGUUAAUGCGAAAAUUUCAUCAUCCCAAGUUCAUGCCGAAUUUUCGAAAAUUGAUCUUUGCCAAGGGGUUUGGUAAAAGUAUAUGCGAGUUGUUUUUCUGUAGAAAUAAACUCUAAUGCAAUAUCUCCCUUUUGAACAUGAUUUCUCAAGAAAUGAUGUCUUAUUUCUAUAUGCUUGGUUCUAGAGUAUUGAAUGGGAUUCUUUGAAAGAUUUAUAGCACUAGUAUUAUCACACUUAAUAGGAAUUUAUUCUAGGUUAAUACCAUAGUCUCUAAGUGUUUGUUUCAUCCAAAGAGCUUGCGCACAACAACUUCCUGCAGCUAUAUGUUCAGCCUCGGUAGUUGAAAGUGCAACAAAAUUUUGUUUCUUGCUAAACCAUGAAACAAGUGAGUGACCAAGAAUAUAGCAAGUUCCACUAGUGCUUUUCCUAUCAAUUUUAUAACCGGCAAAGUCCGCAUCUGAAUAGCAUGUUAAAUCUAUAUGAUUUCCCCUAGGAUACCAAAGUCCAAUAUCUAUGGUUCCACUCAAAUAACGAAAAAUUCUUUUAACAACAAGCAAAUGAGAUUCCUUGGGACAUGAUUGAAAUCUUGCGCACAAACAUACACUAAACAUGAUAUCGGGUCUACUUGCAGUUAAAUAAAGUAAAGAUCCGAUCAUACCUCGAUACAUUUUGAUAUCCACUUCCUUGCCUUUUUCAUCUUUGUCAAGUUUGGUUGUUGUGCUCAUUGGAGUGUUUUUGGUCUUUGAGUCAUCAAUGCCGAAUCUUUUGAGUAGAUUUUUUAUAUACUUGGCUUGAUUUAUGAAAAUUCCUUCCUCAUUUUUUUUUAUUUGCAGCCCAAAGAAGUACUUCAACUCUCCCAUCAUACUCAUUUCAAAUUCAUUACUCAUGCAAGAUGAAAAUUCUUGACACAACAAUUCAUUAGUAGAACCAAAAAUAAUAUCAUCAACAUAAAUUUGAACAACAAGUAUGUCUUUGUCCUUAUGUUUAACAAAGAGAGUAGUAUCCGCUUUACCCAUGGAAAAAUCAUUUUCUAACAAGAAAUUUUAUAACAAGAAAUUCUUAAGUCUAUCAUACCAUGCUCUAGGUGCUUAUUUUAAUCCAUACAAGGCUUUAAACAACUUAUAAACAUGAUUUGGAAGUUUUUCAUUUUCAAAACCAGGGGGUUGUUUUACAUAUACUUCUUCCAUAAUAUACCCAUUUAAGAAAGCACUUUUCACAUCCAUUUGAAAUAAGAUGAAAUCUUUAUGACAUGCAAAUGCCAACAACAUUCUAAUUGAUUCUAGUCUAGCAACGGGUGCAAAAGUUUCAUCAAAAUCAAUUCCUUCUUCUUGGUUGUAACCUUGAGCCACUAAUCUAGCUUUAUUUCUUACAACCACACCGGAGUCAUCCAUCUUAUUUCUAAAUAUUCAUUUAGUACCUAUGAUGGAUUGAUGUUCCGGUUUAGGAACUAAUUCCCACACAUUGUUUCUUUCAAAUUGAUUUAACUCCUCUUGCAUUGCCAUAAUCCAAGAUUCAUCAUUUUCCGCAUCCGCAAAGGAUUUGGGUUCAAUUUGAUAAAUGAAUGCAUUAUGCUCACAAGUAUUCCUAAGCGAUGAUCUAGUUGUAACACCUCGUGAGGGAUCUCCUAAAAUUACAUCUUUAGGGUGAGAAGAAACAUACCUCCACUCCUUGGGGAGUGUUUGAGAAGUACCUUCAUGUUGCUCCAUAUUUGUUUGCUCUUCUUGUUCAUCCUCUUGAUUUCUUUGUGGUGCAUUCUCUUGAUUAUCCUUUGAUGGUUCUUCUUGUGACUCUCCAUCUGCAUCAUCAUAAUUUAUUCCUUUCUCCACAGAGGAGGGGUUAGACUCAUCAAAUGUAACAUGCAUAGAUUCUUCUACAACUAGUGUAUUUUUGUUAUAAACUCUAUAAGCUUUGCUUGAGUUUGAAUAUCCAAGAAAAAUACCAACAUUAGAUUUUGGAUCAAAUUUGCCAAGAUUGUCUUUUGUGUUCAAAAUAAAAUAUUUGCAUCCAAAAACUUUGAAAUAACCAAUAUUGGGUUUUCUAUGUUUCCAAAGCUCUUAUGGAGUUUUGUUAAGGUUAGGUCUAAUCAACACACGAUUUAAAACAUAACAAGCGGUAUUGACGGCCUCGGCCCAAAAAUACUUAGGCAAUGAAUUUUCAUUCAACAUAGUCCUAACCAUUUCUUGAAUGGAUCUAUUUUUUCUCUCAACAACUCCAUUUUAUUAUGAAGUUCUAGGUGAUGAAAAUUGAUGCUCAAUGCCAAGAUUAUUGCAAAAAUUCUCAAGUGCAUGAUUUUAAAACUCUCCUCCAUGAUCACUCCUAAUGCAUGCAAUACCAUGCCCUUUUUCAUUUUGUAUUUUCUUACAAAGCACUUUAAAGGCAUCAAGAGCAUCAUCCUUAUUGACUAAGAAUAAUACCCAUCAUGUAUAUCUAGAAUAAUCAUCCACUAUCACAAAUGCAUAAUAUUUGCCAUUUAGACUAGCAUAUAUAGAUGCCCCAAAUAAAUCUAUGUGCAGAAGUUGAAGUGGUUUUGAAGUAGAAAUAUGAUUUUUAUUUUUGAAAGAUGUUUUGAUUUGUUUUCCAAAUUGACAAGCUUCACAAAUCUUAUCUUUUUGAAAACCAAUUUUCAGAAGACCUUUAACUAAAUCAUUUUUCAAAAUUUUUGAAAUCAAAUCCAUACUUGCAUGUCCUAACCUUCUAUGCCAUAACCAACUAUCAUCAUGUAAUGUGGAAAAGCAUUUAUCAAGAGGAGAUGCACAUUCUAUGUCAAUGAUAUAAACAUUACCACAUCUAUUCCCAACAAAUAAGAUCUUGACAUCACAUGAAUUCUCAAUAACACAACUAAAUUUAUCAAAGAUAACUUUGUAACCUUUGUCACAUAAUUGACUAAUACUAAUUAAGUUGUGUUUCAAGUUCUCAACCAAACAUACAUUCUCAAUUAGAGUUGAGGAAACUUUACCAACAUUUCCAAUUCUAAGAAUUUUUCCUUUUGAGUUGUCUCCAAAAGAUACGUCUCCACCAUUUUCAAUUUUGGUGAAGCUUGAGAACCAUGCAUAGUUUCCGGUCAUGUGCCUUGAACAACCACUGUCCAAGUACCAUUUAUUUUUCUUCUUCUUUAAGCCCUAUAAAGAAAAUCUCAAGUUUUAAGUACCCAAAGCUUUUUGGGUCCUUGAGAGUUAGUAAUGGUUCCUUUUGGAACCCAAAUACAUUUGACACCAUAAUAUGCAUUCCUUUUCACGAGACAUCUAUAUUUCAUGUGACCGUUUUGAUUACAAUAAUGGCAAACAAUCUUAUGAUCACUUGUGGAGGUAGCUUUAACAAAAUAAUUCUUAUAAUAUUUUUGCUUCAAGUUAGGCUUAUACCCAAGUCCUCCUUUAUCAAAAACACAUUUUUGUGAGUUAAGCAUAUUAUCCAACAUCUUUUGCCCAUUUGUAAAUUUCAAAACAAUCUCAUUCAACUCAUUGCUCUUUUUCUUAAGCAUUUCGUUUUCAUUUUUCAAAUCAUCUAUGUGUGAUUCUAAAUGCUCAUGUGAGAUGCUAGGUUUCUCAUUUGAUAAUGCAAUUUCAUCAUGCAAUGUUUUGUUCUCAACUUCUAGGCAUGCAAUUUUUGCAUUUAAAGAUUCAUUUUCAUUUUUAAGCUUUGCCAUUUCCUUUUUAAGACAUAUAUUCUUUUUACCAAUCUUCAUCAACUCAUUAUGCAAUUCUUUAAAAGCAUCAUACAAUUCAUCAUAGGUGGGAUCACUUACCUCAUUGAGAUCAUCAUCCCCUCCUAUUGCCAUAAGCGCUAGGUUUGAUACUUCUUGCGACCCUUCUUCAUCACUUGAAUCUUCCUCGCUAUCAUCCCAAGUUGCAACCAUGGCUUUCUUCUUGAGUUUGUUGAUGAGUGGGCACUCCAAUUUUAUAUGGCCAGGCUUCUUGCAUUCAUAGCAUGUGAUUACCUCUUUCUUCUCCCUUUGGUUCUUAAAGUUUCUGAAAUUUCUUCGCUCUCCGGUUUUCUUGAAGAAUUUUCUGAACCUCCUUUCUAGCAUGGCCAACUCUUCAUCUUCCGGUUCACUCUCCCCAUCACUCUCAUAUUUUGAAGCUUUGAGAGCAAUGCUUUUCUUCUUCUCCUCAUGCCCUUUUUCUGCUGCCAAAUCUUCUUCAUAUGAAAUGAGAGAACCAAUUAAAUCAUCAAGAGGUAAAGUAUUCAAAUCUUUGGCCUCUUCAAUAGCGGUUCUUUUAGGUCUCCAUUCUUUUGGAAGUGACCUAAUGAUUUUCUUAACUUUCUCGCUAUUUGAGAAGGUCUUCCCCAAAGCUCCUAGAGUGUUCACUAUGUCCGUAAAUCUAGUAUACAUAGAAUACACAUUUUCAUUUUGUUCCAUUUGGAAUAAUUCAUAUUGACGAGUGUAUCUACUAAUUUUAGACUCUUUAACUUGAUUUGUCCCUUCAUAGACAACUUCAACUUUAUUCCAUAUUUCUUGUGCACUUUCACAGCUAGAUACUCCAUGGAAUUCUUUCUUAUCAAGAGCACAAAACAAGGCAUUCAUUGCCUUGGAGUUUAAGGAUAUUUUUCUCUUUUCUAACUCACUCCAUUGACUUGCUGGUUUAGGAAUAUCAUUUCCUACUUCAUCUUUAAACAUAGGCAUGAAUGGACCAUUACAAAAAACUUCCCAAAUUUCAUAAUCUAAAGCUUGCAAAUAGAUUCUCAUUCUAGUUUUCCAAUAUGCAUAGUCAUUACUGUCAAAGAACGAUGGUCUAGUUGUGGAUUGCCCUUCUCUAAAGGUUGAGUCAUUUAGGGCUGCCAUGGAUCUUUUACUCUAGACGAUUAAGUCCUAAUAAGAGAACAAGGCUCUGAUACCAAUUGAAAUACAAGUAUGCAAUCCAAGAGGGGGAGUGAAUUGAGAUUCUAAAAAUUAUUAGAUUCUAAAACAAAUUAUCAUGCAAAUCUAAAAUAAAUUUAAUGGAAUAACAAUUAAAUCAAUUACAAUAUAAAAAGAUAAGGGAAGAGAGAUUCAAACACGAAGAUUUUUACGUGGUUCGGCCAACCUCGCCUACGUCCACGCCUUCAAGCUUUCCGGGCUUGAGGAUUUCACGAAGCAAGCCUCCAAGGCUUCAAAUGCUUACACUUGACUUCCAAGGUGUCAAUGAACCUUUACAACAAGAGAUUAUCCCCAAUCUUUUAUCCCAAGUGUAUCCCAACACUUACAAACACUCAAAGUAGAAGAUUAAAAAAUUAUUUUUCUCUCACACAAUAUUUAAGAUUACAAAUCAAUGCCCAAUAUGUGAAUAGAUGAAACAAGAAUGUGUUUUAAAGCUCUAUGAAGAUUGUAUUCUCGAAUAUAAGCUCAAUAGUCGUGUUGUGAUCAAUCUUGUUUGAAUUUGAAUGAGCUUAUUUAUAGUUGGGGCUGAAAACUAGCCGUUAUUGACUUUCUGCACACUAUCGGAUCGCCGUUAACUAGAUGUCGGAUCGCCGUUUGACUGGUCAAUAUGACCGUUGGGCUGAUUUUCAAAUUUGUCGGAUCGCCGUUAUCUAGGUGUCGGAUCACCGUUUAGGUCCAGAGGCUGAUCUUCAGUUCUAUUCAAUAUCGGUGAGCCGUUUAUCAGAUUUGUCGGAUCACCGUUUAGGUCCAGAGACUAAUCUUCAAUUCUGUUUGAUAUCGGCGAGUCGUUUAUUAGAUUUUUCGGAUCGCCGUUUAGGUCCAGAGACUAAUCUUCCAUUCUGUUUGAUAUCGGCGAGCCGUUCAUCAAAAUUGUCGGAUCGCCGUUUUUCACAGAAACUGCUGUAGUGAACUAUUUUGCAAGAUAACUGUUUGUCUCCAAAUCUUUAUAAAAACAAUUUAUAAAACUUUUCAAAAUAGAUGAAAAUUAUUUUGAGCUUUUAAAAGAUUAAUCAAUCUUAAUCAAGCUUAAAGAACCUAUUUUCAAACCUUUUCAGGUUUCGAAAACUAGUCAAAAGCUUGUACAUGAGUCAAAAUCAGAUUUUGCUAAAGCCAUUAGAGAACAACUAGAUAGGAUAGAAGCUGCUUCUUUCUCAUCUAGCAAAGUUCAAAUAGCUCUUGAUACUCCUCAAUCUAGCAAGAUUGGAGUAUUAGAACAUGACCAAAUGUCUGACCAAACGUCUAUUGCCUCUUCUGAUAUAGAAGCCUUUAAAGAAGAACCUAUUCCUAAAGCCAACAAAAUCCAUUGGGAAUUAGCCCUUCCUAAUAUUAAGUCUCCACCUGAUUUGACCAUAGACAACAAACCUAGUGCAUUAAAUCAAUCUCGAUACAAUGCAUCCUCUGUCUAUGAGUGGAAUUUAGAUGGAAUGUCUGAGUACAAUAUCCUAGGAUUGUUGCAGCAGAUGACCAUGGCAGCUAAUACGUAUAAAACCCAAUCAGGAACUUCUGACAAAGCUAUUGCAGAAAUCCUUAUUGCUGGCUUUACAUGUCAACUUAAAGGUUGGUGGGAUCAUCUUCUCACUCAACAGCAACAAUUAGAUAUUCUAAAUUCCAUACAAAUCGAUGAGGAUAAAAUAUCUAUUCUUGAUGAGUUUAAUAAUCCAAUUCAAGAUGCGGUUGCCACUUUAAUCCUCACCAUCUCCCUCCAUUUCAUAGAAGAUCCCUCUCACCUUAGAGAUAAAAACGCUGAGUUAGUACAUAAUCUAAUAUGUAGAACACUUAGUGAAUUUCAGAGUUACAAAACUACUUUCUUUACCAGACUCUUUCUCAGAGAUGAUGCAAAUCAUAUAACUUGGAAAGAGAAAUUCCUUGCUGGUCUACCUACCCUUUUAGGAGAAAAGGUUAGGAAUUCCAUUAAAGCCAUAUACGAAAAUCGUAUCCCUUAUGAUGAGCUCACCUACGGUGAACUUGUUAGUUUUAUAAACAAAGAAGGUUUAAAGAUCUGUCAAGAUUUGAAAUUACAGAAACGACUUAAAUGGGAGCUUAGGAAAUCUAAGCAAUAAUUAGGCAGUUUCUGUAAGCAAUUCAACUAUGACCCCUUUAAAACUUCUACCUCCAAAGGAUGUAAUGGUGAGUGUUCUUCCAAACCUCACAUAAGGCAUUACAAAUCCAAAAGUCAUAGAAAGCCAUUCCAAAAUUUUAGAGAAUCUUCUUAUAAGAAACCCUCGAGGCCUCAUAAGAAGCCCAAUUUCUCUAAGAAAAAGGAAUAUAAACCUAAACACAAAGCCCCUUUCAAUUACAAAGAAGCCAUUUGCCAUAAGUGUGGCAUAAAAGGCCAUACUGCAAAGUAUUGCAGAAUGAACCGAAAACUUCACAAGUUAGGACUCGAUGAAGAGAUCCUCUCUAAAGUUGCCUCUCUUCUUGUAGAGUCUUAUGACUCUGAGUCUUCCAUGUCGGGAGACAGUGACUCCCUCCAAGUCGAUGAGCUUAUUGAUUCAGAUACUUCUGCAUAUAGCAGUAGUAAUUCUGAGUCAGAUUCUUAUUUAAAGAAAAUCAAUGUUUUGACAAAAGACCAAGAAAUUUUCCUUGAACUUGUUAAACACAUUUCUGACCCGAAUCUUCAAAAAGAAUAUCUUGAUAAGCUUUUAAAGACCCUGGAUUCUAAUAAAGCAGAAACUUCCAAAAUUCCAAUUGUUAAAAAGAGUUCUUAUGACCUCACCCAAAUUUUAGACAAAAAGAAAAUAAAGAAAACAACACCUAAUAUCCAAGAUCUUCAAAAAGAAAUCAAAGAUAUUAAACUCGAGAUAAAAGAGUUAAAAGAAAAGCAAAGAAAUGAUUCUGAAACUAUCCAACUUCUCUUACAAAAACAAUUACAGGACAAUUCAGAUAAAGAAUCUAAUGAUGGUGAUAAUGAAGAACAAAGACUUGACAACAUUGAAUCUGUGCCAAAUGAUUUUCUGUUUGUUUUAAAACAAAUCACCACCAGAAAAUAUUUGAUUAAAGUCACCUUAAUCUUUUCAAAUGAUUUUGUAAUAGACGCCAUUGCCCUUUUUGACACUGGUGCUGAUUUAAAUUGCAUAAGAGAAGAUAUUGUCCCUAAAAGAUUUCAUGAGAAAACUAAAGAAAGACUUUCUGCCGCCAAUAAUUCAAAACUUAAAGUCAACUCUAAAGUCGAAGCUUCUAUUCAUAACAAUGAUUUUGAUUUCAGAACUUCUUUUAUCCUUACAAAUGACAUACACCAUGCUAUCAUUUUAGGAACCCCAUUUAUAAAUUUGAUUACCCCAUAUACUGUCAAUUACGAUAGUAUAUCCUUUAAAGCAAAAUCCAAAAAGCUUAUUUUCCCUUUUAUUGAAUAACCAAAAACAAGAAAUCUAAACAUUGUUAAAGCUUGCUCAGUUUAUCAAAACCAUAUCAAUGCCGUUCUUAAAUCUAAACAAAAUGACUUGUUUUGUUUAAAAAAGGAUUUAAGUUUACAAAGAAUUGAAAGGCAAAUACAAAAUGACUUUAUACAAAGAAAAAUCUCUGAUUUUAAAAAUCUCAUCGAAAAAGAAAUAUGUGCUGAUUUACCAUCUGCCUUUUGGGAAAGAAAACAACAUCUGGUAGAUUUGCCCUAUGACAAUUCUUUUGAUGAGAAACAAAUACCCACUAAAGCUCGUCCAAUCCAAAUGAAUAUGGAAUUGGAACAACAUUGUAAAAAUGAAAUAAAAGAUUUAGAAGACAAAGGACUCAUUGUGAAAUCCAUAUCACCAUGGUCCUGUGCCGCUUUUUACGUAAAUAAAAAUUCUGAAAUUGAAAGAGGAACACCAAGACUUGUAAUAAAUUACAAACCUUUAAAUAAAGCAUUGAGAUGGAUUAGGUAUCCUAUACCUAAUAAAAAAGAUUUACUCCAAAAACUGUGUUCUGCCCUUAUUUUUUCAAAAUUUGACAUGAAGUCUAGAUUUUGGCAAAUUCAAAUUCACCCAAAUGAUCGUUAUAAGACUGCUUUUACUGUUCCAUUCGGACAGUAUGAGUGGACUGUAAUGCCAUUUGGCUUAAAGAAUGCACCCUCAGAAUUUCAAAGAAUAAUGAAUGAAAUUUACAACCCCUAUUCUGAAUUUUGCAUUGUCUAUAUAGACGAUGUGUUGAUUUUUUCUCAAUCAAUUGAUCAACAUUUCAAACACUUAAAGACUUUCUAUUAUGCCACUAAGAAAGCUGGUCUAGCCCUUUCUAGUUCAAAGAUUUCAUUAUUCCAAACUAGAGUCAGGUUCCUAGGUCAUUAUAUUUCUAAAGGAACCAUUACUCCUAUUGAAAGGUCCCUUGCCUUUACAGACAAGUUUCCUGAUAAAAUCCUUGAUAAGACUCAAUUACAAAGAUUUUUGGGCAGCCUCAAUUAUGUUCUUGAUUUUUGUCCCAACAUAAAUAGGAUUGCCAAACCAUUGCAUAAUAGGUUAAAGAAAACCCAUGUUGCAUGGUCUGACGAGCAUACAAAAAUUGUUCAGCAUAUAAAGACCAUAGUAAAAAGCAUUCCAUGUUUAUUUCUUGCUAAUCCUACACUGCCUAAAAUUGUUGAAACUGAUGCAUCAGAUUUAGGUUAUGGAGGCAUAUUAAAGCAAAAAGAAAAUGGUAAAGAACAGAUAGUACAAUAUGUUUCUGCACAUUGGAACGAUUGUCAAAAGAAUUAUUCUACCAUUAAAAAAGAAAUUUUAUCAAUUGUUUUAUGUAUCUCUAAAUUCCAAAGUGAUUUGUUAAAUCAAAAAUUUCUACUUAGAAUUGAUUGCAAAGCUGCAAAACAUGUUUUGAAAAAAGAUGUUCAAAAUAUUGCAUCCAAACAAAUUUUUGCACGAUGGCAAGCCAUUUUAAGUGUUUUUUAUUUUGAUAUUGAAUUUAUUAAAGGAGAACUCAAAUUAGGAUCCUUGGCUCAAAACUCAAUUUUUUUUUUUAAUUAAUUACCAGCUUUGAAAUAAAUAGAUUUGCUUUGGAACGCGGUUGGUCAAGUUUAAUAAAGGUACGUGGCGUUGUAUCUAGAUCGAUGCAGAGACAAGUCCUGUUGUCGCAGCUUUGGAAAGUGCACAGAAAAUCACAACUGGUGUUGAGAGAAUAAGUGCACAUGGGCAUGUGCUAACGAGAACAACUAUUGCCAGGUACUACCAGUGCCUUACACUAGGGACUCCCACAGCAGCAGGAAUCACAGCAAAAGCUACUGAUAUCAACAAGACCGCUGAGAGAAAAAAUAAAAAAAUAGUGUGAAAAGUUCCUCAAGAAGCUUCAGUUUGCUUGGACAAAUUUCCUAAUCAGGCUAUGCAGUUUAGAGAUCAUGUCACCUUAUCCAUUAGGAUUCCAGAGUUGCUUAUUCUAGCUUUAAAAUGAACAUAGAAAGGAUACAGAAACGGAAACUAACCUGGGAUGUAGUACUUUGCAAAGCUUUCUAUAAAUGUUUGAGCUCGUGACUUCUUUUUGUGAGACUCUUCUACUAGUGCUGCCAUUCUUGAGACCACACAGUCUUUUGCUAAUGCAGUAGUUUUUAUACUAAUAUAACCUGAGAAAGAUGAGAUACAUACACAAGCAGUCAAAUCUCUUGAUCGUAACAUUGAUGAAGAAAUUAAAGUGUGAAAGAACUAACCGUCCAAAUUGAUGGUGCCAGCCCAAACAGGAGAGUCUUGUUCUUUGACAACAGGGAACGACUCUCCGGUCAAUGUUUUCUCAUCCACCUCACAUUUACCUUCAACAACAAUUCCAUCAAUGGGAAUUACUUCGCCGGCCCUGACGGCAAGGAUUGUAUUCACCUUCACUGUAUUCACAUCAACUUGUUGCCCAGUUUCGGCAAUUAUGGCCUUCUGAGGAGUCAUGCUUGUCAAAGAUGACAUGGCGGCCAUAGCCUAUGAAUUAUAUACAAAAUUCAAAUUUUAGAACAGCUAUUGAAGAUACAAAUGAUGAAUGAUGUAGGACCAGAAAUAGAGCGAGAAAUAAGAAAAUAUUAGAAUGGUUGCAGAUUGCUUUCAGAACUUAAAGAGGGCAAGAUCCAUUUUCUGGCUGUAAGUUGUUUCCAAACAACAAUACCAAACAUUUUCUAUCCUCUUCCCUCCCCCUCCCCUCCCCCCACCCCCCAAAAAAAAAAUACCUCGGAAACAGAAAAUCAAAUGAUACCAAACAGGCACGUUGACAGAGAAAGAUGGAACCAGACCUUGUAUCUUGCUACUGACUCAAGCCAUUGAGAAAUAGAGAAUAAAAAGACAAUAGAACCAGCUUCCACAUAAUCUCCAAGAGCAAGAGUUCCCACAGCUGCACGUUACCAAACAAAAUAUGAAAAAAAAGUAGCCCUUUCUUCAAUUUGAAUUGAAGAAAUUCAGGAGGAUUACCUGCCAUCAGAACAAGAACAUUUAUAUUAAGAGUGAGGCUCUUAAUUGAUGCUACGCUUCUUAUUAAUAUUGCAGGGAGUCCAAGGAUGACUGCAGCGACAGCCAAAAAUUGCAAUGGAUGAUAAAUAAAUCCUAGAAAUGAUAGUGCAAGUAACAAGCCGGAAGCCAUAACUAAUGGGGCGGGCCACUUCUUCUGAGAUUUCAUUUUCCCCUCUGGUCUAACAGUAGCCUCCAGCCUUGCCUUAUUCAGUGCCUCAACUGGCAUUAAACCACAAAAGAUUUCGUAUCAAUACUCACAAUAACAUCACCUUAGACUCAAAUACUUGUAAGCAUACUUGGGAGCAUUUACAAGUGGCAAAUUCUAUAUAGCUUAAUUGUCCUUCCUACUAAUUACUACAGUCACGCCCAAUGCUAUAGACAUAUCCCCAAGUUGUGUCAACCUUGUAAAUAAUAAAAUUUGGCUAAGAAAUAUCUAACUAUAAUUUCUAGUUCCCAUUAGAGGAGCACGUUUAAGCCACCACUUAUAGUACAUGCAUUGUUUUUUUUUGGGGAGGGGGGGGGGGGGUCUCUUUAUUGGGAGGGUGUUUUGUUCCUUCUCCAAAUUAAUUAAUAGAGUUAUUUAAUUUCAUUCAGCAUGAAAGAGACAUGGAAGAGUCCCUAUAUCAGACCAGGAGAACAUUAAAGUCCAAAUGGACAGAUGGUGUGCUCACACUUUAGUCAUAAAAUUGCAAUAGACUAAAACAGAAGCACAUAUAAUUAAGUUUUUUUGAAAAAACUUCAUCAAUACCAUUGAUAAUAGUUAUGUAAAAACUAAUUAAUGGACUUUUAGUAAUUUAAAUGAGUAAAAAAUUCAGCAAAAAAUGCCUAAAGUGUAACAUGAAUAAUAACAUUGUCUAUAGUAAUGGGUUGAUAAGUCAUGUUAGGGUUGUGGCCAUCUGUUUUAUAAUUUCAUGUGUGCAUUGCAUUUGUAACCAUAUAUGGUCAAUAUUUUGUUACAUGAUAUUUUUUAUUCUAUAACUAUCAGUCACAAUAUAAUGUAAGAGCAAUACUAAACAUUCAAUACGUAAAUUCAAAUUUGAAUUUUAAUUGAUGUAACAUUCAUUUUUUAGAUGACAGUUAAAUAAUUAUAUAAGUUAUAAAAUUCAUCAUCCAAUAAAUGAGUGACAUAUAGUAUUAAAAUUCAAAUAUUGGUAUCUUUGAAUUUCUGAUAAUACAAUAAUCCCUGAGAAACCACUAUUGACAACCACAGCUAGUAAACAUCUUAAUCCCGAAGAUUGCCCUGGACAUAUAAACUUCAAUUCUCAUGCAAUAGAAAAAUCCAAAAAACUUAAAUCAAUCAUUGAAAAGAUUAAUAAAUUAUCCAUUUGUGCUGAUAUUGCUUCAUUUGCAGUAUAUUUAAUUAGUUCUUAUUUAUGGCAGCACGACACAUACCAAUUUUGGUGUCGGAAAUGCGUCGGGUAUCAUGAACUACGAUCACAGUUUUCGUUGGCACAAUCACCGAAAUCUCUUCAACUCCAUCAAGUGAAUUCAGAAUCCUCUCAACAAGUGGAACCUCUGAUGAACAGCACAAACCCAACACCUCAAAGUAAUUUUUCUUUAAACUUACAGCCAUGAAAGAACAAAAUAUUGAGAAUAUCAGACAAUCUUUGAUAUAAGUUCUUAUCAGAUCAGAAGACGAAGAAGAAGAAGAAUACUGAUGGAAAGGCCAGACCUUUAUUCUGUGUCUUCUUUACUUGUUCUAUGUGUAUUUUAAAUUUUUAUUUAUGGGGCUGGCAAACUUUGCCUGCUACAAUUGAGAGGGAAUUCAACUGUAUACUCUUUAAUUUAUUCAAAUUUGUUAAUAUUUUAACAUGGAAGUCCGUGUAUUUCUAUUUAUUAAUAAAAUAAUUCCAAGGAUUUGAAGAAAUAGGCAUCCCGGUCUGAUGAUUGUGUUUUAUAUUAAUCUUUCUUGUUUGUCGUAACUUCAUAAUUUAUAUGUGUGAUGUGAUGAUUUGGAUUGGUGUGUCGUGUUGAAAAAAUAUGUAAUAAUAUUUUUAAUUUGUUAUGAAUGAGACUUGCUUAUUAAUUCUGUCAAGAAUCUUAAAUACUAAUUUGAUUUUUUUAUAAUUAUUAAAAAAUUAAAGAUUUAUUAUCAUUACUAAUUGGAAAAUGAAAUUAUUAAAUUUAAAGAGUUAUUAUCAUUACCAAUUAUAAUGAGAUAACAAAAGAGAAAAUAAAAAUAUUUACUUAUAGUUAUCAAUAGAGCUGGCAAAACGGUUCAUCGGGUCGUGUUCGUGUCGUGUCAGCUUCGGGUCGUGUUAAAUUUAACUUGACCCAAACCUGACUCAUUUAAUAAUUGUGUCAAAAUAUUGAGACCCAAACCUAACAUGGAAAAAUAAUCGGGUUACCCAAUAACCUGCUUAAUAUCUAUAUAUUAAACAAAAGUUACAUAAAAUAUUUACACACUGUCAUACAUACGUAUAUACAUACAUACAUACAUACAUAAUUUAUCGAUAUUAUAAAAUAUACAUAUCUACCAAAAUAUUAUACAUUUACACUAUUGAGGUUUUAAUUAUAUAUAUGUAAAUAAUAUUAUAAAAUAUACAUGUCUACCAAUAUUUUACGCAUUUACACUAUUGAAUCUCUAGAUGUAUUUAAAAUUUUAUAAAUAAAACAUUAUGUUUAUAUUCAUCCUUUUAAAGAAUAAAAAUAAAAGAGAAAAUCAUCUCUAAUAUUUGAGUUUUGAUGACAAGAACUUUGCAAAUUAUUUUAAAAUAGAAAAUAUAAUCGGAUCAUUGAUCUGGUAAAUGGGUCAAGAGUUUUAACCCUAACCCGACACGGAAAAAAAUUGUGUCGACCCAGACCCGACCCAUUUAAUAAUCGUGUUAAAUUCGAUGAUACAUACCCAUUUAUUUAUGUCGUGUUCAUGUCGGGUCAUCGAAUCGUGUCAAAUUUUGCCAACUCUAGUUAUCAAUUAUUAUAUAUGCACAAUAAAAAAAUAUUAUGCAUACAUAUUUAUGAAUGUGUAAAUAAAUUUUAUUCAACAUUAUAUCUAUUUUGAUCAUUUACAUUCUUACUGUACUUUAACACCAAAAUUUGCUUAAUAUAUAUAUAUGGAUGUUUUUAAAAUUUACAGUACUUUUAAAAAUAAAUUUUACCAAACAUUAAACUAAUUAUCUUCAUAGCUAAAUGUUUCAACAACACAGCUAACAUCAAUUAUUUUAAAAAUUAUAUCAUUACCAAACUAGCCCUAAAUACAUUUUGAGGGACUUACAGUGCUAUAAGUUCAAACUCUCAUCAAUUUUAGUUUAAAUGUAAUUAUAUAAUUGCUAAAAUAGAAUAAAUAUAACAAACGUGUCAAUACAAUAUUAGUCAUAUAUAUCAAAUUUAGAUUUUAUUUUUUGUACAAAGAAAACUAUUUCCUUAAAGCAAUAAAAUUUUAAAGAAAAAAAAUCUCACAUAUGCUAGAAUAUGUUUUUCUAUCACAUUGGAGAUUUGUUUAGAUAUACAGAUAAAUCAUUGAGUUGAUACUAAUGGAAAAUAAUACAAAAUGGUUAGUUUUUAAUUUUCACUUUGGUACCGAGCAGCUGAUUAAAAAAAAAUUACGUAAAAUAACUAGUGUAACACCUAAAAUCCAACACAUAUGGAGCACAUGACAAAGAAGAAGGUUACUAAUGAAUUAUAAUCCUUACAACAAAAUCUUAUAUUGAAAUAACUCAAAUUUUAUUCAAAUCAAACCAAAAUAAAUAUUUGUGAAACAACUCCAAUAUUAACAUCGUCUCCUAAUUUCAAAUAUAUAUAUAAAUAAAGCUCUCCAAAGAUGAGCAUAACUUGCAAUAAGCUACUGUAUCUACAAAAAUAAAUGAUGAAGGAUGCAUUGUCAACUUAGUAAAUAAAAUCAUUUCCAAUACACUAGAUUUAUGGGGUGCCAAAAUAUUUGCAAGCCUUUUAUCAAAAUAUGCAUUAAAACAUAAGUUCUACAAAAUAAAAUAUUAUAAUAGAAGGACAUAAAUUCAUAAGUGAUUCAGAUAUCGAAAACAUAAUUAAUCAUAAAAAUAAAUCAUUCAACUUACAUACACAUAAAACAAAAAGUUAGCUUAUAUUACAUAGUGUCACCUAUACUCCCAGUGAUCCGGCCAGAAACAAAAUCAUAAUAAGAAUAGAAAUUUCAUGUUGGCCAGAAUAUAAAUCAGAAUGAGAAUCACAAUAACUAUGGAUAAUGGGCCAAAACAUUUAAAUUCAUUUUCAUAUGUAACGACUCGAACGUGGUACUUUAUACUAUAUGUGGCAUUUUACAGCAAGCUGAUCCUCAAGAGGUGGCCUCGAUACAACUUUAAGAGAUGGCCUCCACACAAGUUUCUAUAAAUAAUCUUAACCAAAUAUAUGAACAAAACAUUCAUAUCGGAUUCAUAAAAGGUCAUGCCAAUGACUUAUGCUUGCAAAAAAGUUUCAUUCUAACAUUUUAUAGGUAAUUUCAUAAAAGAUAAUUGUUUAGUAAAAUAAAUUAAACAUUUAAAUUCAUUUAGAAUAUUUUGUUAAAAUCUUGGAAAUAGUAUAAUUUUCAAAUUUGAAAACAUUUAAAUAAAUAGUUAAAUAAAUUAUUUUUUUAAUGAAAGUCACUUGAUUUCUAAAGUACUUUAAAACACAUGUAAUUAUAAUAGUAUCAAAAUAAUUAUACAAAUCCAAUACACUAUGAAUGACGAUACUUGCCAUGCCAAAAGUAAUGAUCUAAAUGCACUUGUAAGCAUCCAACAGUCUCAAACACUUUGAAAUGACCCGCCCUGAAUCCCCCCAGGCAAGUCUAUCUAGUCUCAUCCAAACGGACUUGAUAAAAAUUCUAUUAGUAAAGAUUCUGCCGAAAAUUCGACAGAGUCUCCUUUAUAUAUAUAACACUCCCAAUCUACAAAUAUGAAUAUAACACUCCCAAUACAAUUCAAUAUACAACAAACUCCAGUGAUCAACAUCCUCAACCAAAAUGCUGAGUUUUAUAUCUCUAGAGUCUCAAAAGAUAAUAUUAUAACUAAUAUUAUUAUAUCAAUUUAUUCUUAAUCCCAAAAGAAUAAUAUAACAAAAUUAUACAAUCCCAAAAGAACAAGAUGACCAACAUGUCCUAACAAAAACAUCUAUAUCUUCUAACACCAUCACAUGGCCAAGACUCAAAAUAUAUUUACAGUCGCUGGGUCGGUCCGGUGUACCUGCAACCUCCUGGUGAGGGGGGAAAAAUAUAAUAAAAACAGGGUGAGUUUAAAACUCAGUGAGAUCAGUGAGUGGAUAGUAGUUUUGAAAAUUAAUUCUUACUUUAAAAGAAAUAAUCAUAUCAUUUCCAAACACGACUUUAUUAAACCAUAAGCGAGAAACCAGUAAUAAAUCAUUAAACAUUUAAAUCAUAUUACUAACCAUGGAAAUCAUAUCACAAUAUCAUAUAGAAUUCACAAAUCUGAAAAUCAUCACCAAACAAGUACCCAGGGAAAUAAUCUCGUCAUAUCCGGACCUCAACGGACGGGCAAUGGCAUACUAUCUGGGUAACGUCACGCCCCGGAGCUACACGGAUAGACAGGGAAAUACCAUCUCAUAUCUCAUCAUAUCUAUACAUGCAUAAUCUGGUCCCCAAGGGACAAAAGUGCCCAAGCACACGGUCUAAAGCCUCUGUGUGUACUCAGACGGGCCCCAAAGGCCUGUAUCUCAUCUGUAUCUCAAUAUAUGUCUGUAUCUCAUAUCUGUAUCUCUGUAAUCAUCAUACCGUAUGCAUAUGCCCCCAAAAGGCAAAAGCGCCCAAACACACGGCCCAAAGCCUCUAUGUGUGUUCAGACGGGCCCCAAAGACCUCUCAUCUCAUCUCUAUCACAUGUAUCUGGAAGGAAGGGUAUUGUCUAAUGAUUUCAAAAACAAUAAUUAUACUCAUAUUCACAUACAUUUUAAUCAUGCUUUAACUCAUACCACAUUUGAAUCCACUUUUCUUAUCUUAAAAAUACUAUCAUGCUUAUUCAAAGUCGAUACGCAAAAUCAUUAACUAAACAUUUAAUAAAAUAUCAAUGCAUGAAUCAAAUCCAUUUCGAAGAAAUCAUUAAAUCAGAACAUUUAAAACACUUAUUUCGUAAACAUGCAUUACUAUCAUAAUUAACUAUGAAAAUAGGUUUUGUAUAUUCCACUCAUAGUGACGGUGUUCACGGUCGAUUAUCGUCCACGUCCACGGACCGGUUCUCGCUCGCGGAUCCUCCUAAAUCAAGGAAGCGACAUAAUUAUUUUCCGUAAAUCGGAAUUAGGACUAAAUUUUAUGCAAGGAAACGACAUAAUUAUUUUCCGUAAAUCGAAAUUAGGACUAAAUUUUAUGCAAUAAACUCUAAACGAACAUCUAUCCAUAAUUAACAACUCCCGUGUCCAUAAAAUUACUGAAAUGCCCUUGAGUCCGUAGAUCAUUAACAUGCUCCGAAAUCGUAAAUCACCGAAUUACCAUCGGAAUCAUAAUUACACAUAAUCCUCAAUUCUAGGAAUUACUAAAAUAUCCACAGGCUCAGAAAUUACAAAAUUGCCCUCAUAAUGUGAAAUUACCAAAAUGCCCUUGCCGGUCAACGGUCAACGGUCAUCGAAAUUUGGUCAACGCUGGCUAGGAAGCCCAAUCUGAAAGUUCCAAUCAUGCUGAGUUCGAUGGUACUGGCGGUGAGCUCCAACGCGCGGCAACGACGCCGGAAUCUAACUCGGCAGCCGUGAAUUCCAACAAUCGACCGGCGGCAAAACAGUGACUCUCGAUGCCUAUGGAUGGUCGGAAAUGGAAGAGGGAGUCAUGAGGAACAAAAUCCAACCGGUGGUGUCACCCAAAACCGGCGAAAAUCCCGACGGAGUAAAGUGAAACAGUCGCGGGUUUCAAGCUUCGAUCACUGGCGUUCCGGUUGGUUUUCAGUGGCAAGGAUGGCAGGAGAACGACGGUCGGUUUCUAAGCUUUAGAUUGGUACCAAGCUCGACUGAAACAGUGGCCGGAAAUGGGAGUUAUGGCCAGGUCAAGGUCGAGAGUUCCGGGUCGGGUUUUCGGGUCUGUAGUUGGGUCGGUUUGGCAGCUUCUCUCUCACUCUCUCACACACGUGUGGCUCUAUGUUGCUCUGUUUUCCAGCUUCUUCUUUUGUUAACUUCUUAACCGCCUCUUUUAUUCAUUUUAAAUUCACAUAUGUUACACACUUUAAACAAAUACGAUAUAUAAUUAUUAAUAGCUUAUCCCAACAUCCUGCUCUUCGAACUUGUACCCAUACUAGUUUGAUUCACUACUAGAAAAAUGGUCUUUACUGACUUUAGAAUAGUGUCAGAAAUUACUUUCACUGACACUUGUUAAUUGUGUCAGUAAUCUGGGAGUCAGAAAAAUAGUGACACUUGUAAGUGGUGUCAGUGAUUAUUAUUACUACAAUAUCACCGAUAUUAUGACACUAUAGUGUUAGUAGUUAUUGAUAUUUUAUUAGUGUCUAUGAUUACUGUUACAUGGUAUCACUAGUUAAUUUAUUUUAAAAAAAAUAAAAAAUUGAAUUGGAUCAUUGCCUAUUGAUUUAUUGGUAAAAUUAAAAGCACCACAAAAUAACAAAAAGAAAUUGAUUUAUAUCACAAAAUCUUUCAUUUCACAUUUAAAUAUUAUUAGUAUAUAUUACAAAUUCAACUUCAAUAGCCAAAAUAUGAGAUAUCCUACUCUCAUAACUAAAUAAUCCAAAUUCAAUACAUAAAAAUUUCUAUUAUCCAAUCAAAUGCCUACUACUUGUGGCUAAAUUUAAUAAAUCUAGAAGCUAAAUUGAGAAUGAUGAUUGUCUUUCACUCUUUGAAUAUGAGUAGUAUAAUUGCGUUAUCACAGCAGCAGCUUCUCCAUUCAAUAGACUAUAUGGGUUAGGAUACAAGUGAAGUUGAGGAAUAAACACUUCAAACACAUUGAGCAAAUCUGCAUACAUGGAAAAGGGAGAAAAAAUUAGCUGUCAAUUCCCAACCAUUAGAGAAACAAUGGUUAAUAUAAAUAAAUCUAUUUUGUUCCAAAGAAAAAAUAUUCAUACACUAUUUAUAAGUAAACUCAGUUAUUUCAAAGAAAAAUUAGUGAACAAGGAAGUUGUAGUUUAUUUCCUUAAAAAUAUCAAAGAAAUACAGUUUAUUCAACUACAGAUAUAAAUAAGAAAAAAAGGAGUCAAUGAUUAUUCUCUUUUGGUAAGGUUAUUUAUAAUAAGUUAAUGACUCUAAAUAGAGUAAGAACGAUAACUAGGUAAAAAUACAAUUACUUGUUGAAAAUUAGUCACUAGAUUCCCAGUAACUACAUCAUAAUGUUGAGCAAUUAAUUACUAAGGCAUCAGCCAAGUAGUUAGUGUAGGGACUGACUUCAUUCAUUCCCUUAAAGAAAUCCAAUAACCUUGCUGCCUCCUUAUUUAUAUGCAUACUUCCAAUGUUUAAUUAUUUUGCUGCAGAGAAAGAAAGUUAAUAGAAAUGACAAACUGAUAGCGUUUCUGUAAUUUUCAGAUAAUCAUACAUAGCAUUUCUUUUAUAAAUUAACCGUCUACUUGAUCGAUUAAGCACAUUCUUGUUAAUUUCCUUAAACUCCUCUAUUUUAUUUAAUAACUUAAUUUCAACCUUCAUCACUAGGAAAAAAAAUUUAAAAAAAAAAAAAAACACUUUCGCAGUGGUGAAGGAGAUGGCUAAAUAUAUGCACAGCAGAAAAAGAAAAAUCUGCCCUGUUGACUUGGAGGGUUAUAUUAAUUUAAUUGGCCUUGCGGGUAGCAGAUAAUUUUUGAGCUAUUAUGCUUAAGUGCUUUAUGACCAUGUAGUUCCUUUAGUUUAGUCAAAGCGAGCUGAAAAACGAAACAAUUGAACAAAGCUUAAUUAAUGACUAAAAAGAUUCCAUAAAGAUUUGUCACGGUGACAUUAAUAGAUAAGACACGAAUAAAAAAAAAUUUAUCAACUUCUUUUCCUUUUCAUAUUAUUUAAAAUAAAUUAAAGCUAAUAAUAAUUAUUUCUAUGUAAUUUAUAGAGGCGAUUGCUCCCAUUAUUGAAAACCCAGAACGAAAGAGGUAUGUGGGACAAUUAAAUAAUAAAACUAGAUUCCUAAAAAUAAUUAAGUAGAGAUUUGUGUGCCAGUCAAAAUUGUCUAUGAAAAACUACAGUAGUAAUUGGUACUUAAAUACAUAUUUAUAAAAUUUAAGAUACUUAAUACAUUGGAUUGAUAUUUUCCUGUUUUUAACAACACAUGAAUGAACAACAUAUUAAAAUUUGAGGUUAUUAUGAUAUUAUUAUGCUGGUGUUUUGUAAGAUCAAAAGUUAAUAAAUAGUUAUGUCAAAAGAACUUGCUCUGCAGAGUUUAAAAAAUCAUUAAAAAUAACCUGCAAGUUCAAUCAACAUAAAAUUUUUCAAAUUUGAAGUAUGCAUAUAGAACUUAAGUUUCUCCGAAUUUCAGCUCAUUCAAACACGUUUAGACUAUUGUUUUGCACCACCAAACAUGAUACAUGAGUAAUUUAUGAAAGAUUGGACAGCAACCAACCAUUUUGAAAAAUUGAUUAAAAAUCAGUUAUAGACCCAAUUCAUUCCAAAAUUUCCAGAACUGAAACAUACACAUUUAACUUUAAUUAUUUCAAACAUAUGGUAAAGUUUGGACAAAAUAUUUCAAUAAUUUGAGAGUUCAUUCCAAAAUCAUUACUUAUAAACAAGUCUUAUGAUUUUGGUCAUGAAUCUUAUAAAAUUUAAGAUACUUAAUACAUUAGAAUGAUAUUUUCCAGUUUUUAACAACACAUAUGAAUGAACAACAUAUUAAAAUUUGAGGUUAUUAUGAUAUUAUUAUGCUGGUGUUUUGUAAGAUCAAAAGUUAAUAAAUAGUUAUGUCAAAAGAACUUACUGCAGAGCAGUAGAGUUUAAAAAAUCAUUAAAAAUAACCUGCAAGUUCAAUCGACAUAAAAUUUUUCAGAUUUGAAGUAUGCAUAUAGAACUUUAGUUUCUCCGAAUUUCAGCUCAUUCCGACAUGUUUAGACUAUCGUUUUGCACCACCAAACAUGAUACAUGAGUAAUUUAUGAAAGAUUGGACAGCAACCAACCAUUUUGAAAAAUCAAUUAAAAAUCAGUUAUAGACCCAAUUCAUUCUAAAAAUUCCAGAACUGAAACAUACACAUUUAACUUUAAUUAUUUCAAACAUAUGGUAAAGUUUGGACAAAAUAUUUCAAUAAUUUGAGAGUUCAUUCCAAAAUCAUUACUUAUAAACAAGUCUUAUGAUUUUGGCCAUGAAUCUUAUCAAAUUUAAGAUACUUAAUACAUUGGAAUGAUAUUUUCCAGUUUUUAACAACACAUAUGAAUGAACAACAUAUUAAAAUUUGAGGUUAUUCUGAUAUUAUUAUGUUGGUGUUUUGUAAGAUCAAAAGUUAAUAAAUAGUUAUGUCAAAAGAACUUGCUGCAGAGCAGCAGAGUUUAAAAAAUCAUUAAAAAUAACCUGCAAGUUCAAUCAACAUAAAAUUUUUCAGAUUUGAAGUAUGCAUAUAGAACUUUAGUUUCUCCGAAUUUCAGCUCAUUCAGACAUGUUUAGACUAUCGUUUUGCACCACCAAACAUGAUACAUGAGUAAUUUAUGAAAGAUUGGACAGCAACCAACCAUUUUGAAAAAUCGAUUAAAAAUCAGUUAUAGACCCAAUUCAUUCCAAAAUUUCCAGAACUGAAACAUACACAUUUAACUUUAAUUAUUUCAAACAUAUGGUAAAGUUUGGACAAAAUAUUUCAAUAAUUUGAGAAUUCAUUCCAAAAUCAUUACUUAUAAACAAGUCUUAUGAUUUUGGCCAUCAGUCAUAUAAAUAUAAAUAAGAAAAAUUAAACAACUGAAGUAGAUAUUGCCUUAUUAUGAACAUAAAUAUAAAUAAGACAAAUCUAAUAUUGCCUUAGUAAUGAACUGAAGAAACAAAAUUCUGUUUUGCCCUGUAAACAAAUCCAUUAAAGAAAUGAUAAAGACACCUCAUUUCUCAACCUAAGCCGCAUACUUCAAACUUUUCCUUUGUAAAAGCAUCUAUUUGAUAGUUUGUAAUAAGUAAUCAUCCAAUGAGACUAUUUAUAGCAAAUAAAAAUUGAAAUCUAUUCGAUAUGAACAAAACUAAAAAAUAACAAACGAAAAAAAUGAAAAGAUUGCUUUUGAAAAAAAAAACUAAUAACACAUGAACAAAUGGUUAAUAAGCAAUAAGUUAUAUCAACAUAGAACCACUAUGAACCAAUAUAAACCAUCAAUUUUAGCAUAAUCAUACUGCUCUUAAGAAUUCCCAAAUUAGAAAAUUUUAGGGUUUUAGUGUAAAAAAUGUUUAAUGUCAUUCAUCAGCGAAAUAAAGUUAACCUUAUAAUGACAAUCACCCUAAACACAAUAUUUUCCAAAGUAGAUAUAAUGAAGGCUAUUUGGUACCAAUAAAAGAAAAGAAAGUAGCAGAGAAAAAAACACAAUAAAAGCUAAAUCUUUACCUUCUUGUUUCUUCCAAGUAGCUAAAGAAAUAAUACCUUCUAGUUUCUUCCAAGUAGCCAAAGAAAUAUAGAAGCUCUUCUCCAAAUCACUUAUUUAAACCUAAAAGAACAAUUAAAAAAAAACUCAAGAUCUAAUGACAAUAAGAGAGACCCGAAAUCAUAAAAUAAGAAAAGAAACAAGAAGUUAAGAUUUUGAAGGCAAAUAGUGAACCUGUGCCACCGGUUUGACAGGAUCAUGGCUGAGUACUUUUUGACAAUUUGGAUGUUAGGGAUUUUUCAUAUCUGGGGAGCUUAGGAGGGAACGAAUACUUUGGUAGAGGGGGUUGAAAAGUUGUAUUUUGGAUAAGAUAAGACUUGUCCAUUUGUUUUGUUUUUAUCCACUCAAAAAGCACAACUCUAAAAAAAUUAAAAAUAAUUCGUAGCCUAGUGGUCUUUUGAUUCAAUGUAGAAGCUCUAGGUUUAAGAGGUCUUGGGUUCGAAUUCGGACUAAAACAAAAAUAAAAUGAUAAUUUUUAAUUGCUGAUACCUAAGCGUCAUUGAUCGCUAUUACUAAAGCUAUUGAUACUUCAGUAUUAGUAAUUAGUGAUACAUAUCUGUUAAACGCGAAAAAUGAUCCAAAUAUAUGUAUAUACUGAUACUUUUAAAUAAAGAGUCAGAACACAAGUAUCAGUAAAGACCAUUUUUCUAGUAGUGAUUCUCUAAAUUUUAACUCUUAAUCUAAUAAUCAGAAUGACAUAAUAUCUUACAAAACUUUUUUGGACAUCCAUGGCUAUUACUCAUAAAACUUUUGUGAUGAUCCGAUAUCAAAAUAUUUUCAAAACUAUUUAGUUCUUGAUAAGUUCAAAUCUAUUGUAUGGAGCAUUAAAUAAACAUUAUAGGUUCCAACAGUUUUAUAAAAUCAUAUAUUUAUUAUAAAAUUGUAAAAUUAAAUAUGAGAAUACUAGACACGAAUAAUAAUCUCUGUUUACAAUUUCAAAAUUUUUCGAAUUCAUUUGGCACUCCAAAUAAUUUGAUAAAUUUGAUUAUUGUGUUGAAAUUGCAGUUUUCUGGUACAACAAUUUUUACUUUGAAAAUCCAUAUAAAAUUGAAUACAAGGUCAAAUCUUAAGAAAUAAAAUUUAUUCAAUACUCCCUACAUGUCUAAUUUAUAAAAGGGUGGGGAUAUUUGUACUCUAAAUAUUUCUUUGAACACUCUAUUACUUUACACACUCAUGCACAAAUUAUAAAAGAUUAAGUUUUACUUUGUACACUCUUUAAAAUUUCAAAAAUAUCCUUACUUAAACUAUUUAAAUUAUUUAACUUUAUUUACUUAAAAAACUAAUAAAACUAUUCAGCACACCAAUUUUAAGAGAUUUACCAUGUACUUACAACAAUAUAAUUAAGUCAAGUUGUAAAAAAAAAAUUAAUAUAAAAUUAGUUAUUAAUUUUUUAGUUAUUUAUGUUCAAUAUUGAAUUUCACACCCAAAAUAACUUGCAAUGAGAAUAUAAUAAAAAGAAUUAUAUUCCAUAGAUACUACCCAAAAAAAGAAAAAAAUUCAUAAAGAUGAAGGAGAUGAGAAGAAGGGACGAAGCAGAAAAAAGAGAAGAGGAAGACGUAGAGAUGAAGAAAAAGAGAAGAAUGGUGAAAGUCAAAAAGAAAGUUUGUUCAUAGUACUUUUUUAUUUUAUUUUUAAAGAAAAUGUAUCACACAUACUGUGUAAUUAAAUUUUUUUAAUAUUGAUUUCCUUAUUAUUCAUCUAAAUGUUAAAUUCAGAUAUUGAAAAUAAAAGUUUUAGGGUUUAAAAUAUGAUAAUUAAAAAUGAAUAAUGAGUGUGUUAUAUGUAUGUUCAAAACAAUUAUAUAAUAUUAACUUAUAAAAAACUGUCCUUAAUAGUAAUUCAUGAUAUGGGUAUUUUUGUAAUAUAUAUUUUUAUUAAAAUUAGUGUGUUCAAAGUAAUUUUUUUAGUGCAAAUAGCCUCACCCUUUAUAAAAAGAUAAGUUCCUGUCAAAAAUAAUUUUUCAAAGGCUAUGAUUUAUUACAAAAUAUUUGUGCUGUUCAAAAAUAAUUCUAUAAGACGCAACCAAGAAGCUUCUAAUUUAAAAAAGAUCACUAACCCCAUUGUAGAAGGAGAAAGUUGAUGCAUUAUCUCAGGGUGAGAGAAGGAAAUUAGAAAAAGAGGUAUUUUAUAGGAAAAUACUUGGAAACCCUAGUAAAUAAUAAAGCCUAUAAUCAUUCUCUAAAAUCAAAGUUUAGGAAAGCCGCCUAAUAUCUCCUAAUAAAAGAAUUAAAGAAAUAAUUUUUCUUAUUUCUUACUAAAAAUUACCAUAAUUAUUAAUUUACUCCAAUACCUUAGGUUAAACACAAACAAAUAUCACUACUUAUCUUUAGAAACACCCCUCAUGCAGAAAGUACACUUUAAUAAAAACAUGCAACGCGAAUUGAAAAUUUUGAACCUAACUCUUCCACGUAGAUUCAUGUUUGCUCAUAGCAACAUUAUUAUUAUUAUUUAAAAUAAAACAGUAUAUUAAAAUUCAAUUAGAAUAAGAAUUACAUCCACAUUUAUUUCAUGAUGCCGCACAAAGUUACAAUAAAAAGGGUCAAAAUGCCAUGCAAGAAAUAAAAAGGCUUAAGAAUAGAUCCAGAAACCGAAAAUAAAGAAAACUUCAAUCCCCUUAAAACUGGUAAAACAAGGACUCGCUUUAGACCCAAAAAGAGGUGUCGAGUAAAUGAGUAAAUGAGUAAAUGAGUAAUAAUAAUAAACCCACCAAACUCAUUGGGAAAAUGAAAAAUAAUAAUAAUAAUAAUAAUAAUAAAGGUAACAGGGUAUAUUUGUACCAAUAUGGCAACGCCUUUAUUAAUAACCGCAAUAAUUGUUUUUAAGUCGAUCUUAAAAUAUUAGUAGUGAAAUUCUAACAAUUUAAUAAAUUUCUUGUUUAUGGAAAUUAAAAUGAAAAUAAUAGUUAAACUCUCAAUCAUUAUUUUUAAAAAUUUUGUAAUCUCUUAAAUCCUGUUUUAUCUGCAUUACAUAUGAAGUAAUUAGAAAAAGAAAAGUAGACGAAAUAACAAAUUAAUUAACUAUAAUAAUAAUAUAGGAUGCUACAAAUUGACUGGUACUGUAAAUGAAAGGCUACUCUUUUAUGGCAAUAAGCAUUUUAUUUAAAAGUGAAAAUUUAUUUCCAAUAAAUUAUGGGCCAGCAUGAGUUUGGUGCUUAAUGGAAUUCAAAAUUUCUAAUAAAUAUUCACAAAAAUACAUUAUAUUUUGAUCAAUCUUACAUCUGAAGGAAAUUAAUGGUUUGCUUCUAUACAUGUAAAAUAUUUACAAACAAAUUUUGGACUUGUCUAUUGGACCUUAGGGGCCAUGGCCCAUGGGUGCAACAAGCCUUUUAUUAUUGUAAGUAAUAACAAGCCUGAGAGUGGCUUUAAGACUUUAGAUUCUGCUAAAGCUUGAACAGAGACUUUAAAAUUCUUCAAUUUUGUGUCAGAUUAUGCUAAAUGCCAAUGUUUGAAGGUAGUGUUUUAUUUUUUAUACGUACGUACAUACACACACACACAUACAUACAUACAUACAUACAUAUAUAUAUAUAUAAUUUGAAGGUAAUUAUUAUUAUUAUUAUUAGAAAUUUGUGGGAGCACUCUUUUAUAGUGCAGCCUAGAUAAUAUGAAUGAAAAGAGAGUGGUUUAUCAUUUACCAUCUAAAUAAUGGGCGGUUCUGAAUAUUCAAAAGUUUCUAUUCCCUGAUUAAGAAGAAGUCGGCGUGAUUGAGCGGCAGAUAUCAUCCAGGAUAUAAGCCUUGUUAUUGUAUACAUAUACUCGAACAGUAGAAAUGCAGUAACUCUCACUGUUGUCACACAUUAUGGAGAUGAAGAGGCUUCAAGUCUUCAAUUUUUGGUAAGUAGUGGAGAUGAGGAAAAGUGACGAUCGUAUCAGGGUCUUGCGUAUAUUAAUUAGGCCUAAGCCUUAUGAUUGCACGCAAAGGAUGUAGCUUGUGAGUAGUGUAGCCAACAGUAUCAACACUUUCUUCCUCGCCAUCUCUCAGAUUCCACUUGAAUUCCUGCACCAGCCUACCUAUUGCUGUGCAAGCUAUCAAACUUGCCUGAAGAGAACCUGCGCACACCCUCUUUCCUGCUCCAAAGGCCAUUGUCUUGUACAAAUCCGCAGGGUCGUUUUGCCCAUCAAGAAAUCUCUCGGGUUUCCACUCCUCUGGGUUUUCCCACUGUUUCUUGUCCAUGUUGCAUCCGUAUAUGUUUAUUGCAAUCUGUGUAUGCAACAUAAAUUAAAGUUAACAUCUAACAAUGCAAACACCAUUAGUCGGAACCACAAAGAUUUCAAAGGAAACUAAGCUAAACAACAACCUCACUUCCAGCAGGAAUGAAGUAUCCUCCUAUUUCGGUAUCUUCAUGUGCAAAUCUUAAUGGAACUAUUGGAGCUGGACUGUACUUUCUCAGAGUUUCAUGGAAAACUCCUCCCAAGUAAGGAACCUGUGCUAUGUUUUCCUCCGUAAACUUGUUUGACCGACAAACUGAUUGAAUCUCCUGAAAUAGACGGUCCUGUAGUGUGUAUAUAUAUAUAGAAGGAACAUCAAUAUAUGCAAAAAAUUUUGAACAGGUAGCAAAGAUCAAAAUUCAUGGGGAGAACUAGCGAUUGAUUAAUUAACCUGUCGCAUUGGAUCCUUUGCGAGCUCAUACAUGGCCCAUUCUGUUGUGACCAAAGUAGCAUCUGAUGUCUCGAUGAUAGGCUCCCAGAGCAGCAUGCUUAUUUGUUGCUCUGUAAGUGAUUUUACUUCUGACAACAAGUAAUCAACAUAACAAUUCAGUUCCUGUCCUGCAGCAAUUCUGCUUUUGGCCUCACUGAUGAGGGCAUCCAUUACUGCUUGCCUGCGGGUACACAAUCUCUGAAUUUUCAUUUCCACGCCUUUAUUAGGAACCCAUCUUAGAUAAGGGAAGAAGUCUCUCCAGUCCACCUCAAUUGCUCCCUCCAUUAUGUCAAGCACUAAAAUUUUAAAUAUCUCAUCUUUUGACAAUGUGGUACGGAGCUCCUUCACAUAAAUUGAUUCCACAACCUUUCCCACAGCC
rnacentral:lncRNA from 1 species